rnacentral:lncRNA from 1 species
UGGAGACAUUAGAGAUAUUUGAAUAUGGACUGUAUAUUAAAUGAUAUUUGGGGAUUACUAAUUUUCUUUGCUGUGACAAGUAUGACAAAGCCCUUAUUUUUAAAACUUGCAUAUUAAGUAUUUAAGGAAGAAAUGUCCUGAUGACUGCAACUUUCUUCUCCCCCACACCCACAUAUCCACACACACACACCCAAAUAUGACAAUAUCAUUAUAAAACUAUAGUAAUCAAAACAGCAUAAUAUUGGUGUAAAGACAAAGUGUUCAAUAAAACAGGCUAGAGAGUCCAGAAAGAAAUGAAACAGAUAUAGACAACUGAUUUUUGACAAGGUUGCAAAGGCAACGCGUGAAGGAUGAGUCACUUUUCAAUAAAUGGUACUGAAACAAAUGGAUAUCAAAAUGGGUGGCUCAAAAUCUCAACACACAACAAGCACACACACCUUUCCAAAAGAAUGGGAACCAAUGUACCACAUUUACUACUUCCAUCUUAGUUUUCAGAGUCUGAUUCCACAGGCAUUAUAUUAACUAGGGCUCUUUUGUGGUUGAAAGCCACAGAAAUAGACUCUGGCAACUAUAGACAAAAGGAAAUUUAUUCAAGGGAGAUAUGGAUGCCUACAGGAUGCAAGUCAAGCCUGGGGAACCAGUUUUAUUAUGAUAUCUCCAAGGAACUCCAGCAAUUUGGCCACUUACUUUAGGGAGCCAAAGCUGAGAUGAAUUAAUUUUAGCAUUUGUUCUUCCUUCUACCACCCACUUCAAGAUUCAGAGUGGGGAGAGAGAAGCCAAUUGGUCCAGUUGGGUCCCAUGCUUGUGCUUGGCGACGCAAGCCCCCUGAGUGACAAUCCUCCAGAAGCAGGCACUUUAGGGAGGAAAGUCAUUGCUCCAAAAGGUAUCAGGGUGUGUUGCCAGAAGAAGAAGGGGUGAUGCUGGGCAGGGAAGAGCAACUGUGAUCACCACUGUCAGUGUUCCGCUUGGAGUCUUGGCACAACUGGGUGAUUAAUUCUUCCAUAGAGGGUGUGAUCCUACUUGAGUUCCAUUUAACAAGCUUGGGUGUGAAACUAGUAUUAAAGUAGUAUUAAUUCACAUUAUUUUUUGAAUUAAUAGUCAAAUUAUAAAAUAUCUUUCUCUGAAUCUCCAUCUUAUUGAUCUGGCAGAAACUCAACUGAGUCAUUAUUGCACCCAGGGGUCAGUAGGUGACAAGGCUGGAGCCCCGUGUCCUGGAACUAUGCCUGGAACAGCACUCUCUCUUCCAGAGCACUGAGAGGAUGCCAUGAGAGGCCUGCACUCACUGAGCCCCAUGAGCCCUUCUGGUCUUGAGGAAUCUUCUCCACUCCUCUGCGUUCUUCAUUUCGGCCUUCUCCCAUCUUCUAAGAAACCAAACUUCUUUCCCUCUCCCUGAACUAAUCCCUUCAAUGAACUUAAGAUUUGGGAGAAAAGUCAAGGAGGGAAGUUGUUUUCAGGGCGCUUCUACGUAAAGCUCUUAAUACCAACCUCUUUGGUCAGCGUGUAUGAGUCUGCUCAGGCUGCCGUAACAAAAUACCACAGGCUAAGUGGCUUAGACAACAGAAAUGCAUUUCUUCCCAGUUCCGAAGACUGGAAGUGCAAGAUCAAGGUAUCAGCAGGGUUUUCUUCUAAGGCCUCUCUCCUUGGCUUGCAGAUGGCCACCUUUUCCCUCUGGUUUUAGAGGGUCCUCUUCUAUGUUUGUCUGUGUCGUAAUCUCUUCUUAUAAGGACACCAGUCAUACUGGAACAGUGCCAGCCCAUAUGACUGCAUUUCACCCUAAUUGCCCAUUUAUUUAUUUUGAGACAGAGUUUUUUUUUUUUUUUUUAAUACUCUGUCAUCCAGGCUGGAGUGCAUGAUCUCGGCUCACUGCAACCUCUGCCUCCCAGAUUCAAGCAGUUCUCCUGCCUCAGCCUCUCAAGUAGCUGGGACUACAGGUGUGCACCACCAUGCCCAGCUAAUUUUUGUGUUUUUAGCUGAGACAGGGUUUCACCAUGUUGGCCAGGCUGGUCUUGAACUCCUGACCAGAAAUGAUCCGCCCUCCUUAGCCUCCCAAAGUGCUGGCAUUCCAGGCAUGAGCCACCGCGCCUGGCCAUGCUUUUAAAUCUGGCUCUGCUGCUUAUGGCCACUCAGUGGUCUUGGAAAAAUUAACCUUUCUAUGCCUCAGAUUUUCUAUCUAUAAAAUGGGUAAUUAUAAUACUGCACAAUCCUUAGGACUCCUGGCUGGUUACAAGUGAUAUUACGUGAAAUGUUCUUAGAACAGGGUCUGACAACUACUAAGUGCCCAAUAAGUGCUAGCUAUGAUUUAUUAUGUAGCAGCCAAUUUAAAAUCUUACCUUAAAAAUUAAGAAUCAUUGGAUGACUUGAAGAACAAUUUUAUUCUCAAAGUUGCUACACAAAUAGAAAUCAAUACCUCCCUAGCUAUCUGAGUGCCAGAUCUCUGAAGACCUAAUCCAUUUAAAUUGAGCAGUUGAAACAGUAAUCAUGAAGGCCUGUACUUUAUAAUAGUCAAUGGUCCUUGGACCAUUACUUAGCCUCCAUAGACUCUUGCUUUACAUAUAUUUCUAGCAGCCUUGCCUCUCAGGCUUUCCAGAAGCAGCAAAUUAGGAAGUAAAGAAGGAAGGGCUUAGAACUGACAGUAGCAAGAAGUGACAGCUGACAGCUUGACAGCUAAGGAAGAAGAGAGAAAAUUAAAAAGCAGAGCAAACAGUCCCACGUGGUCCAGUUCCCCCCGAGGGCCUCCCUGCCAGGAACAUGAUUGAUGUUCUUCAGGAUGACCUGCAGACCUGCGUCCCCAGCCAAUAAUGGUCCCUCCAUCCACUUGGCCAUCCGACCUAGAGAAAUCAGCCUCCUCUUCAGCUACUUCUCUUUCCUCCUGAAAUUUAGUUGGUCACCAAAUGCUAUUAAUUCACUUUGAAAUGUAUCUGGUCAACACACAUUUCCCAGCACUCUACUGUGAACCCUUUAUUAUUGCCUGCUGGACAAUUGUACAAGGGACUUCUACCUGGUCUUCCUACCUCAAGUCUCAGUGUCUACAGAAAGUAUAAUCAUGGCAAGGAUGGAAGUUGGAGACACACAGUAAGGGUUGCUGAGUAUCUACCGUGUGUGAAGUAAUAAUGCCCACUGUUCUGUUCAAAUUAUAAAGAAAAAAAGCUCCUCUUGACAUGUGCUAUUAAGAGUAUUAAAAGCUGCUAUUUUAAGGUAUUUUAGAAAAUAAGACUAAGUGUAUGUAUUCAGAAUGAAUUACAGAAAGUGAAGUGAUAGCUCAAUAAUUCAGAUCCCAAAUACCAGCCUCACUUCUUCCUUACCUCCUCUUCUUCAUCCAACUGUAUGGAUAAUUGAAAGAAACUAAGGGGCGAGGAGUGUCCCUUAAUUCUUGUGUCUUGGAGUGUCCCUUAAUUCUUCACUUUGAAUAGCACAACAUUUGGUUUUCCUUUUCUAUUUCAGUAUCUCACAUUAUUCUUCUGUUCAGACACCAUAUGAGCUUGAUGAAACAUUCAUCUUGUUUUUGUUUUCCUACAGAUAUAAAAUCUCUACACUGGCUCUCUUUUAAUCCUGCCCAUCCUGAUUUGCAAACCCUUCACAGUGGCACUGUGGCUAGAACAGUUGGCUGUGCUGCUGUGCUGGGUGUUCGCAGGUGUGUGGGUUUGCUGGUGAGAGAAGUUUUGCGUGUGAUGGUCUGCUGCUGCUGCCAGAAUCAUUUGGUUCUCUGUGCAGUAGGAUGCAGUGGCCAGCACACAUCUGGGGUUAUUAUUUUCCACUCACUUUAUGUGAGGCUGGACUCCAGGAGAGGCAUUAACACAAAUACAGUAAAGAACUUAAGAUCUGUAUCUUAAGAGAAUUCUUAUUAUUUUCCCUCUACCCGUACUCUGAGCUGAAUGCAAAUGUGCUUCCCUGUCGUUAAUGCAGGCAUUUCUAAUAAUCAGCAUCCUUCUGAUCAUUAGGUAGAUAAAGUGCCUUCCAAUUAUGAAUCUUAAAUGGAGCAUUUUGCCUGCUCUGAAGCAAUUUGCCAUUUAGCUCGAAAACCUUUUAGUAAGCAUAUUAGUUGACUCCAUUUAGGCAGGUACUUGUUCUGGUUGCUCCAGGAAGCACCCUUUAUUAACAACUCCCAGAUAUUAACAAAAUAUUGCUAUCAACACAUUGUCAUCACCUCCGUUGCCUGCACAUAUAGACUGCUGUCCUAGAUUUUCCUUUGUCAUUUGAGUAUGCCCUGUAAUUCCCCAUUCUUGCUCAGAAUCUCACUGAUCUCUGCCAUGCCUUGUCCUCAGAUCAACAGUGUUCAGUGUCUGUAUUCUGAUGAAUCACUCGACCACCAAGCAGUGCCUCAGAUGGCCAUGUUGCAUUGCCCUGAGACAGACUGCCCUUACACAGUGACAUUUUCCCCGCUAUGUCUCACAGCUUUGAGGCGUAUGUCAUGGAAUGUCACAGAGCCAAGUCAGAACUCUGCUUCCCCGCCAAAGCAAAGCAAAGCAAAGGGUGGGCAUAGUUCCACACACAAGUCAUGCAAACAAGAAGAGGAGAUUUUAUUCUUAAUAUCUAUCUAUUCACCGACCACCCACUCUCAGCCUUCCCUUGAUUUCUCAGGAUAAUGCCUAUUGAAACUCCAACCUUAUUCUGUGUUAUUUUAAUCUCUGAUGUGUUCACAUUGUGAGGAAGAGUCUGAGAGAAUGAGAACAGUUCUGUUUUUUUCUUUUUUUUCUAACCCUUUGGGCUAAUUUUACAUUUAUAGGAAGUAGAAACUGAUACAAAUAAAAUACUUUUGCUUUGAAUUGACAGGUGUUGCUUUUAUUUUUAAGUGUGGCUUUUGACCUGAAUUGUUCAAAUAAUUGUAUAAACCCAGCUUAAGAUGCUCUCAAUAUUUUCAGACCUGCUUAUAUAUUCAGUUUUUGUAUGUCUCCAUACACAAUUUUAUUUUGUUUUAUUUUUUUGAAAUGGAGUCUCGCUCUGUCACCCAGGCUGGAGUGCAGUGAUGCAAUCUCAGCUCACUGCAAACUCCGCCUCCUGGAUUCAAGCGAUUCUCUUGCCUCAGCCUCCUGAGUAGCUAGGAUUACAGGUGUGUGUCACCACACUCAGCUAAUUUUUGUAUUUUUAGUAGAGACAGGGUUUCACCAUGUUGACCAUGCUGGUCUCGAACUCCUAACCUCAAGUGAUCUGCCCAUCUCAGUCUCCCAAAUUGCUGGGAUUACAGAUGUGAGCCACUACAUCCAGCCUCCAUACAUAAUUUCUUUUCAUCCUCAUUCUUUUCUCUUUUUGUUGAAUUUUCUCUUCUAAUCCUUUAAUAAACAAUCUAGAACAUGUGUAAUUGAUGCCAGAGACAUAUGCACUCCACCUCCUCUGAAAGCUUGGGAAUACUAAGAAAAUGGUUUAUUUUUAUUCUUUAUUAAAGAAAUAUUAACAUUUAACUUUUUUCUUAUUAGACUUCUUGCUAUUAUAUAAGAUGAGACAAUUAAAAUGGUCUGUAAUUCUACUUCUCUGGUAUAAUUAUUGUUAACAUCAUGUAUAGCCACCUAGUCUCUUAUAAACAGAGAAAACAUGGUAAAUGCUUUCUGCACAUUUUAAAAGUCACAUUUAAUGGUAAAGUGAAGUGAAGAUUUGGUAGCAAAUUGAAAUAGCCUCAAUGUUCAAUAAUAAAUUAACUCAAAAUGAAUUUUUUCCUGAAAAGCUGAGGCCAGUCUAAUGUAGCUGUCUGAGAUUACCCCAAAUAUACAACUCCAAACUUCUAAUUAUGGUAUGUGUGGUGUCUUUUAACAAAAGUGAAAAGCUUAGCCACAAAAGAGCAGGAAGCUCAGAAACCUGCAAGAAGACUGGAUUUGUACAUCAGAAGCAGGAAUUUGUGUCCUCUAAAAAAUAGCCCACUAGGGAAUUAUUUUUUUAUUUUUUAUUUUUUUAUAGUCCGCAAAGUCCAUUAUAUUAUUCUUAUGCCUUUACAUCCUCAUAGCUGAGAACAUUUGAUAUUUGGUUUUCCAUUCCUGAGUUACUUUACUUAGAAUAAUGGCCUCUAGCUCCAUCCAGGUUGCUGCAAAAGUCAUUAUUUCAUUCUGUUUUAUGGCUGAGUAGUAUUCCAUGGUGUAUGUAUAACACAUUUUCUUCAUCUACUGGUUGGUUGAUAGACAUUUAGAUUGGUAAUAUUUUUGCAAUUGCAAAUUGUGCUGCUAUGAAGAUGUGGGUGCAAGUGUCUUCUUCAAAAAAUGACUUAUUUUCCUCUGGGUAGAUAAUCAGUAGUGGGAUUGCUGGAUUGAAUGGUAGUUCUAUUUUUAGUUCUUUAAGCAGUCUCCACACUAUUUUCCCGAGUCAUUGUACUAGUUUACAUUCCCACCAGCAGUGUAAAAGUGUUCCCUUUACACCACAUCCACACCAACAUCUAUUAUUUUUUGACUGUUUAAUUAUAACCAUUCUUGGAGGAGUAAGGUGGUAUCUCAUUGUGGUUUUAACUUGCAUUUCCCUGAUAAUCACUGAGGUUGACCAUUUUUUUCAUGUUUGUUAGCUAUUUGUAUAUCAUCUUUUGAGAAUUGUCUAUUCAUGUCCUUUGCCCACUUUUGAUGGGGUUAUUUGUUUUUUCUUACUCAUUUGUUUGAGUUACUUGUAGAUUCUGGAUAUUAGUCCUUUGUUGAAUGCAUAGUUUGCAAGUCAAAUAUCUUUUUAAUGGGAAUCAUUAAACCAGUCUGGAAAAGAACGCUGGUAUUUUAUAUAAAUUUUAUAUCCAGAGUAACAUUUCUACCAUUGGUCUAUAGAAAAAAAAUAAAGGCAAGGAAUACUGUUCCUUUGGUUUUACCCUAGAAUAAUUUGCUCUUUGGAUCGGUAUCUAGGUAGAGAUUAUGACUAAGCAUUGGUUAAGUUUGGGAAGCUGGAGAAAAUCGUCUGUGUUUAUCCAAAGAGGAAGUUUUAAGAGACCUAUGGGCUACUUUGACUUGCACCCAUGCUUAUUUCACAUAUUUAUAGACAUUGCAGCCUCUAUGUAAUGUCUGUGCUCUUACUUAGGGCUAUGUGGCUAUGGCAAUACCUCACUCACCAUCCUGCAGAACAAGAGCAACCGUGGAUUUUAUCACCCAAUCCACUAGCUGAAGCAGAAUAUGACCCACAUACAACUGGGGUCCCACAUGGCUGGAGCUCGGGGCUAUGCCACGUUCAAAGAAAUAGCAGUCUGAUAGAAAAUGAACAUCAAAAGCCAUUUAAAUCUUUACUCGGUCUCACAAGAAAACCCUAAAAAGAAGAGAUCAUUUUUAGUGCAAAGUAAAUUUCCUUUACAAAGCCUCCCAAGGUGACUCUCCACUUUCAAACCCUUUCACACUCCUAAGAGUGACUUCUACCAAAACACUAUCUUCUCUCUCUACUCUUCAAAGACCUUCUGCCCACAUCCAGACCCAGAGGGCCCUUCCACCUCUGUCCCCGUCUUCACUCCCUUCCUUGUUCUUUAUUCUAUGAAUGGAUUCACACUUGCCUGCUUCUUUGUCUUUUGCUUUUCAUUUCUUCUAUUAACAGGAUUCUGAGCAACAAAGCAAAGACUAAGAGCUGACCAAGCAAUCAAAAAGUAAGAACCCAAGAAACUUUCCUUUUUUGAUGGCUUUAACAGGGACAAAUAUGAUCAGCUAAUGGGAUUACAGGUUUACCUGUUUCCUACAAGCAUGCCUAUAAUUUUUGAUUCUUUGCUUUUGUGUGUGUGUGUGUGUGUGUGAAAAAGCCAACUUUCUUCCCACCCACCUGCUUGUUCCAAAGACCCUAUUCUCCAAGGGAAAUGUUACAUGCCUUUCAAGAAGGCCUUUGCUUUAUGUCCACUCAUCUUCUCCUGUAUUCCACCUAAUUCAUUCAACACAUAUUUUCGAAACACAGUGCUAUGCUGGACCUCAUAUGAAGCCUGGUUUACAAGACGUAUAAGUAAUAUGCCAAAAUGGUGACACAUACACAAAUGGCCUUGAGAACAGAUACUAUAUCCUUUAUUUUAUAAUUAUACUCAGGGAAUAUGGGGGAUGUUGUGUGGAUCACUAAUUUCAUGUUCAAUUGUAAUUCCCAUUGUUGGAUGUGCGGCUGCGUGGGUGAGAGUUUUUGGAUCACAGGGGCAGAUCCCUCAUGAAUGGCUUAGUGCCAUGCCCUUGGGGGCGAGUGAGUUCAUAUGAUAUCUGUUUGUAUAAAAGUGUGUGGGCCGGGCGCGGUGGCUCACGCUUGUAAUCCCAGCACUUUGGGAGGCCGAGGCGGGUGGAUCACGAGGUCAGGAGAUCGAGACCACGGUGAAACCCCGUCUCUACUAAAAAUACAAAAAAAAUUAGCCGGGCGUGGUGGCGGGCGCCUGUAGUCCCAGCUACUCGGAGAGGCUGAGGCAGGAGAAUGGCGUGAACCCGGGAGGCGGAGCUUGCAGUGAGCCGAGACUGUGCCACUGCACUCCAGCCUAGGUGACAGAGCGAGAUUCCGUCUCAAAAAAAAAAAAAAAAAAGUGUGUGGCACUUCCCACACACUCUCUCCCCUUCUCUGGCCAUUUGAGUGCCUGCCCCCUCUUUGCCUUCUGCCAUGAGUAAAAGCUCCCUGAGGCCUCCCCAGAAGCCAAGCAGAUGGUGGUGCCAUAGUUCUAUACAGCCUCCAGAAUGGUGAGCCAGUUGAACUUCUUUUCUUUGUAAGCUACCCAGUGUCAGAUAUUUCUUUAUAGCAAUGCAAGAACCGCCUAACACAAUAGGCAAGUAAUGUGUUAAGUACUCAGAUAGAAGGUGUAUUGAAGGACUUGGAGUCCAAGUUAGAACAUGAAGAACAUGGGAAGGAAAGGUGUCGCAAGCAGAAGAAACAGCAUUUGCAAGAACUCUUCUCUAGAAUAUAAGGGAGAAAAGCAAAGAGGGUCACAAUGAUUAGCUUCAAAUACUUAGGACACACAUGGAAGGCAGUUAAGGCUUGAUCUGAGUUACUUCAGGGCUGAGAAAUGGGAUAAACAGGCAGGAAUAAGAGAGGCCAAAUUUACUCAAUCUGAAAAAGAACUUUCUUAUCCAUGGAACAACCUGAAUGAUAGUAAUGAUAAUACUAGCAAGUACAUAUAUGCCACUUAUUAUAUGCCAAGUACUGAUAUGUGCACUUUAUGAAUAAAUAUAUAAAUAUUUACUUUAUAUAAUUUUAUAUAUGUCUAUGUGUGUGUAUAUAAAUAUACAAUUAAUACUCAUAACGGCACUCUGCUACUACUAUUCCCAAUUCAUGGGUACAGAAACCAAGGUAUCAGGUAACAUGUCCAAGGUGCAAUCAGUAGCUGGUGGCCCCUGGAUUUGAACCUUGGCAGUCUGGCUCUAGCAUUCGUGUUCGUAACCACCCUUCUAUACGGCCAAUGGACUAGCACAUGUCCUAUUACUGAAGGCAUCCAAGUAAAGGUUGGGUGGCCCUUUGAUAGGAAUGCCUUAAAAGGGCUUCCUGCAUUGAAUGGGAGGCUGAGCCAUAUCACUUCUGAGGCCUCUUUCUCCUCUGACCCUGUGAGGCUGGUAACUUAAUUCAAAUUGUCUUUAUACUUUCAAGGUUCAUAACUCACAACUCGUAACCACACUUCUUCCAGUCUCCUUUCUUCCUUCUUCCACUCAAACCAUGAAACUCUAUCCGUCCUAGCUGCACAAUUUUCCCUCCACAUACUCUUGAUGCUCUCUCCCAAUUCUUCGUUAUAUAGGUUGGACCAAGCCUUUCUGGAAAUGCCUUUCCAUCCUCCCCUCCUGCCUCUCAGUUUCCUUCAUAUGUUUUCUCUCCAUGUUCCCCUCUCUGUAACUACAUCAUCCAGGUCAAGAAAUUCAUCCAGCAAAGACAGCAUUUACCUCUGAGAGUGGGUAGAGGAGAUGCCCAGGGUGGGAGCAGGCAGGGAGAUGGCUGGUCGGGCACUGCCUUUCCCAUGGCAGUUUGGCUUUGUGGCCACUUUACUCUUCUGACUAAGAACUCCUCAGGUUUAAAGAGCAGAACGAGAGGACAGAGGAAAAGGAAAAAGUGAGCUUCUGUGUGCCAAGCCUGGCCACUCAGGCUGGAGGGCUUUUAGCUGAAGGGUCUCUCAGACUUGGCACGAAAAGAGGGAGCCAUUUCCCUUGUCUUUAUAGAACCAGGGAAACCUCAGACAUUUCUGUUUGUCUUGUGAACAGCUGGUGACUCCUAUGUGAAUCUAGUUAAGCAUCUUCCUGGCUGCAAACACUACAAGUUCUAUUUUUAAGAUUAAGAACAUUUUCCUAAAAUGUAUCUCAUAAAAGAUUGGCUUCAGACAUUUUAUCCCCAACACACCAUUUUGUGGUGCAGGCUAAAUCUCAUUAUAGAAAUUACUCCAACCUGAAGCUUGGCCAAGUCAAUAAUAUUGAUUGAUGAGCCCAGGAUGUCAACCAUCUCAAUACGAUGCUUCAGACCCGACCCGUUGUUCUUUAACCUUGUCAUAUUUGUGGUUAAUGCCCCUUCCCCUGGCAGCCCCUCCCUAAAAGAAUAAAUGUCAAAUACAAACCAAUUGCAUUUGCUUCAGUCAAAUGAAGCAAGAUGCAGCAGCGUUUCAGUCUGGAAUCUGUGCUGCCAUUGGAACUUGGAGGGGUUUGGUUGGUUGAUUCUGAGCUCUCCUUCAAGUGCACUUGUGGCGUGCUCUGUUCUGUCCCAGGCACUAAGACCUGCAGCGUGACAUUCCAAGCAAAAGAGACAUGCAGAUACCAGGAUGCUCAAUUUGGGAAAGUAAAAGCCAGAGUCAAAGAAAGACAAUCACUGUGGAGUAAAUUCCAGGGCUCCUGUGGAAUCUGCCUUUAUUCCCAUAAAUACAUACUUAAAUCAAGCAGUUCCUCUUAGAACUCUGAGUCUCCUCCUGUUUGUUGCCACCAUCAUUAAAGGGUAUAAUCAGGUGACAGCCUCUGUAAAUAGGAGCAGAAAUCAAAACCAGACAGAUUGCUACCUACCCAUAAUAUAUUUCACCUUAAAAAAUAAUAGUAAAAAAUACAAUAGUAAAGCAAGGGCUGUAGAGUGAAAUAUAUAUAUUUUUUCUGCCUAAAGAAAAAGAGAGAGGAAACAAGUUCAGCUAAUUCAGAGUGGAAGGUUGUGUAUUAGGGACCUCACAUUUAUCCAAAUAGAGGAUGGUGUGGUGAGGGGUUGCCAGGGGAGGAAAGCAUCACAGAAACAGUACGGAGAAAAGAAAGCGACAGGAUGACGCCACAGAGCCAGACUGUAAAAAGGGGGAAAUGGUAAAAGAGCCUGAAAUUCUUCUUCAAGAAUUCUUUCUUUUCAGCUGAGUGGAGCCAUGGUUUCCUGUAAUUAUCCAGUCAUGUGGCUGGCAUGGAUAUAAGUGGGGCUUCUCUUUAGAAAAAGACGAAAAAGAGAAGGGUGUUGGGCCGUAGCUGGGUCCUGUCUUGACAGUCGGAUAAUUUCAGCAGACCUCAGUCGGCAGCUCACCCAAGCCACAGCACAGACUGGUCUCAGAAUUCAAAGUGCAAGUAUCCUCAGUAAUUGCCAAAAGGCUUUUGGAUGGGGAAAACAGUUUUCCAGGACCCUCCCGGUCCAUAAAGCAGAAAGGUGAGCAUGUAAUGCUGAAAGGUUGGCUCUGCCUUGGUCCUUGGUUGACCUAACAACACAGCCUCAGCUUCCUUCUGUUUUCCAAGUUUCUCUGCUUGUCUGUGAAAAAGGAGCAACCCCUGUACACAGAAGAAAGAGUGCAAAAUGGAGGAAAUCCUUCUUCAGGCAUAAUCGAAGCUAAGUCAAAGAGGAGGAGAGAGACCAACCAAAAUGAGCCAAACAAUAGGAGACUUAAAUAAAACCCAGGCCCAGUGAGGCCACUUCAAGAAGGCAGCAAAAAUUACAGACAUCACUGGAAAGGAUGGUGGCCACUGAAAACUGCAGGCAACAGCAGUUGUGGUGAGGAACUGGCUUGGACUAGUGUAAUAAUCGUUCUGGAUAUUAUGUAAUGGAUGAUUUGGCAUCUUGAAAUCAUGGGCCAAACUAAUGACCAAAGUUGUUUGCAUUCAUAUUUCCCUGUGUUUUUUGCAAGCACUUGGAAAUGGUAUUACAAAUCCUCUGGCCACAAACUCCAACAUCUGUGUUUUGCAUCCUGCCCUGUAAAGGGCAUCCUCACCCAACAACUUCCUGCCACUAUAGUAAUAAAGGCCAUUGCCCACGCUUUCUCAUUCUUCCUUCUGACUCUUGACUAACUCUGGCUGUUCUCCUUGUGACCCCUGCAGGGCACUGUGUGCCCCCUCCUCUUGGAACUGUGCAUAAUAAACUCUUCUUUCAAAUGCAAUCGUCUCUGUGCCUGUCAUCUUGCCCCACCUGAUUCAAACAAGUCCCAGGCACAUUGUAAAACAGCUACAAAACAUCAUUUUGGAUUCUCAAUGGUGUACGCAUUUCUAAACUGUGUUUGUGUGAGCAGUGGUCUGUGAGACAGACUUUUUCCUCACGGCCUAUGUGAUUCUGAAGGUGGAAUUCACAAACCAGCUAAUGAUGAUAACAGCUAACCUGGUUUGACAACUUGCAAACAAUGAGUACUUCACAUGACUCAACUCAUUUCAUCCUCAUCUCAGCUCUAUGUGGUAGGUCCCAUCAUUAUUCCCAUUUUACGCAUGAGGAAAGGCUCAGAGAGGGUGAGUAAGAAGCAGGAGAUGACUCAGCCUGUGGGCAACAGAGCUUAGAGGUAGUCUGGCUCCAGAGGCAGGGUUUCUAACACUGUACUUACUCUUACCUCAAAUUCACUUGCUGCAUCUUUAGUUCUUUCUCACUGUGAUGGCCACAUAGUCAUGAGCAACGACAAACAUUUACUGAGGCCAAAUGAAUGCAUGUCAUUAUCGUAGGCACCAGGAGUACCUGACUAUGAGAAAAUGAGUCCUACUCUUGGCGGAUACGAUGAAAAUAUAACAGACCAGCAUAGCUUCCACCGAGAACCAGUUAUAGAGACAACAGAUGCUUGCAAAAAUAAGAGAGAAAAAAAUCAUAAGCUUUAGGGGAGCUGGAAAAUUUGAGGGUGGGGGUGAUUAACUUGUACUUUAAAGGAAAGAGAGGGCUAGAAAAUGGACAGCUGAGGGGAGGGCAUUUCUAGGAGAUGAAAAGGAGAGAAAAAAGGCAACAUAGGAAGACUGGCAUGUUUACAGUUUGGCUCUAUUGAUCCUUUUUUUAUUUGAGUGAAGGAUUAGGUUGACAUUAAAAAGGUUGAUGCCGAUGACAAAGGCUCUCCCAUUGUGAUGCUCAGGGAGCUAGUGCAUCGGCUGAGCUUUGUGGAAGACUUGUAAGUAGAGGGGAGGAGGUGAGCAAACUCAAGAGAUUAGGACAAGAGGGAGGGAGCAGCCCGGGAGGUGGAAUGCCAGAAAAGAGGAUGGUCGGGGCUCACUGAGAUUGGGAAGGGCUGAGCUGAGGCCCACUGCAGGCAACAGAGAAGAUAGGGAUGAGACUGGAACAACAUAUCCUUUGGGUUCAGAGGGUUCUUGGAGUCCAGUUCCAUCAUGGAUAAACAAGUACCUGUAAUUAGGAUUACUGGUGUUAUAGGAAACAGUAUUAAAAACAACCACUAAAGUUCUUGCCUUUCUUCCCUAUUUCAAGUCCUACUAGAGGCAUUUAAAAAGCUGGCAUAUAGUGGAUUUCUAACAACCUGGAUUACUAACACAACAUGCUAGUGUUAUAUUUGUCAGUAUAUCUUUUGCUUUAGGUUAUUUUCUUUUAAUUUUUGUUUCAUUAGAUAAGUAGAAAGUUAUUAAAGAAAACAGAAAUUUUAGAUAUUAAAAAGGAAUAUGCUAAAUUACAUGUAAUCCUACCAGCUGGUCAUAAUAAAAGUAUUUUUUUUGGUAUUAACUAACCUGUCAGACAUUAUAAAUGUUGUAUAUACACACACAUGUGUGUGUUUAUAUAAUACACUUGUUUUAUAAUGAAACAAUCAUAACCAGGCAUAUGGCUAUAUAACCUGCUUUAAUUCAUUCAUAGCAUACCGUUACUGUAUUUCCAUGCCAGUAAUUGUAUAUAGAGAGAGCUGGGCUCAGUAGCAUGAGCCUGUAGUCUCUGUAGUCUCAGUUUCUUGGGAGGCUGAGGCUGGAGGAUUGCUUAAGCUCAGGAGUUUGAGUCCAGCCUGGGCAACAUAGCAAGACCCCAUCUCUUAAAAAUAAUUAUACAUACAUCCAUACAUACAUACACACCCACACACACACACACAGAUGAAAAUGAUGUAUAUAUACAUUUUUGACCUAACAGUUACAUGAAUGUCCCAUGACUUGUUUGAAUAUUUUACUUUCUUUCUUUUUUUAAGUAUUUUACAUAAUGUAAUGUAGCACUAAAUAUUUUUGGACAUUAGUUCUGAGUACUUGUCUGACUAUACAGGUAAUUCUCAAAAAUAGAUGAGAAAUGUUACUUCUCAGACUGUCUCCUUUGUUGUUUUCAAGAUUUUCUCUUCAUCCCUACACAUCUGUUGACCAUAAUUUUCUCUUUGGUCAAUUUCCUUUUAUAUAGUCUCACUUGAAAAAUGACUACAUGAAUCUCCCGUGGCAAUUCCAAAAUUCCAAAUAAUUUAUGUAGAUACUCCGUCUUCAAGGAGGGGGAGCAUACAUUCCUACUCCUUAAAUGUGGGCUAUGCAUAGUGACUUCCUUCCAAGGAGUACGGCAUAAAAGGAGGAACAAAAAAUGAAAGUAACUUUACGGUGGAGCAACAUGACAACACCACCUCAUCCAGGUGAUCAAGGUCUACAUCAACAGCUAUAAAUCAUGUUGAUGUUACAUACUCCUGAUAAGAUGUGAUGAAAAUGACAGUUUACCUCUGUGGCCUUCCCCCCUGCCCCGCCCCCCAGUAACCCAAAACACCAGUCUUAUCAUGACAAAACACCAGACAGCAUUUUAAUAGUAGGGCAUCCUACAAAACAUCUAACCAAUACUCUUCUAAACUGUCCAAGUCAUUAGAAACAAGGAAAGUCUGAGAAACUAUCCCAGCCAAAAGGAGCAAAGGAGACAUGACUAACUGUAACCUGGUAGCCUGGAUAGAAUCCUGGAACAGAAAAGGGACAGCAGGUAAAAACUAAGGUAAUCAGAAUAAAGUACGGACUCUAGUGAACAACAAUUUAUCAAUAUUGGUUCAUUGAUGGUAACAUAUGUACCAUACUAAUGUAGGAUAUUAAUAUCAGGGAAACUUGGCAUUGGGUAUAUUAGAACCCUCUGUACUAUCUGUUUGACUUUUCUGUGAAUCUACAACUAUUCUAAAAAUAAAGUCUAUUAAAAAUGAGCUUAAGAGCAUCCCAAAGGUGGUUCUUUUCUUGGUGCCGUCUGAAUGCGCAAAUGUAGACAUGUGAACUGGACUUCAGGCUACUGAAGUCAGGCCUAGUCUGGGCCUGUCCUCACUGGUGAGGGUGGGUGUGGGGAUGGUCUACAGAGCAGAAGGCAGUCCCCGGCCAGACGGAGAGCUCAAUGUGGAGGAGCCACCCUUAUUAUUUCCUCCUGCUUGAAUAUGUGUACUCAUCCUAGAAGGUGCACAUUCUUUCACUCCAGCAAUACUAACAACAGUAAGAAGAAAAAUUCUCAAAAUUGAGUGAAACACCGCCACCACCAACCAUAUCAAGAAAGAACACACCUGCAACAGCUUUCUCUGCAUCGAUUUAAUUUGCUCUCCAACAAGUUGAGGCCUUCAUAGGAUGGACAGUCCACCUGCAUGACUAACUCUGCUGGAGAAAGCCUUGGACCUGGAACUUGCCCAGAGAGUUAGAAAAGCUGAGAGUGUGACAGCAGGGUGCCACCAAGAAUUCACUGUCUUCAAGAAGAGCAAACAGGAGCAAUAAUGCUAUUACCAUUGCUAACUGUGUAAAACACAUAUAAAACACACCAAUAACUUAGAAGUUUCUUGUUCACAGGUAACUCAGUUUUUUAAAAUAUGGGUUACUUGGACUGUUUCUAAUAAAAUAGCUAAUAUUUGCUAAGCUGACCACUUGCUACCUGCCAAGCUCUGUUUGAAGCACCUAAUAUGUAUUAAUUCAUUUAGUCAUCACAACUCUAUGAAGUGGUUACUAUUAUUGCUCCCAUUUUAUAGAUGAAGCUGAAAGAGAGGUUAAGUAGCUUUCAAAAGGUCUUACAGAAGGGAGAAUUCACAUCAUAAUAAUUUGACUCCAGAACCCAAACUCCCAAUCUCUAUACCAUAUAAUAUGUAGCCUUACACACAUAUAUGUGCACAUAUAUACACAUUCAUAUAGGUAUAUAUGCAUAUAUGUUUGUGUGAAUGCACGUAUCUUUACUAUAAAACAUUCUAAAACUGGUAAAUUCUUUAUGAUGUAAAGUUCUAUUUCAACUGAAACACAGAAUAGAAAAAUUAUUGACUGUUUAAAUGUUCAGAACAUUUAUAGAUGAUAUGUACAUAAAACAGAAAAGUAAUGAUUUGAUACUUAGAGAUGAAUUGGUAAAUAAAAUGCCAUUUUCAUAUCAGUUUUAGCAGAUAAAAGCCUUUGAAGAUUGCUUGAAUAUUACACAGAAGAAAAGAGCUCUCUCUUAGGACAACUGUUGCCAGAGAUAUAAUACUUAAGUACAAUUGGAAAAUUCUAAAUCCCCUUGGAGUUGGAGGGAAGUGGAUUUCUGUAAUGAGUGCUACUUCCAAUUCUCUUGAGAAGAAUAAUAAAGGCCAGAUUGAUUUUCCCUUGGAGAGACUGAUUAGGCAUUUCUUAAACCUCACUCACAGGUAGCUGACCUCUGCCUUGGAAUUUUGAAUCUGUAGGUCACAGAUGUGUCAUUUUCAUGCAUGCUUACAUAAGUAACCUGGGAAAUAGAUGAUGCUGGCAUUUUGAAGCCUGGUUUUUAUUAUUAUUUUUCAAAUAAUAUAUAAUUUCAAAUAACUUUAAGGUAGGGCAGAAUUGUUUAUUUCUGCACUAGAGGGAAAGCUCCCUCUCACAAUAGCCAAAGGAAGCUUGCGGGGAAGCAUUUUUCAGCAGCAAGGACAGGGAUGAGAACUGGAGCUCUGUGAUCCUGAGGGAAGGCUGAUUGAAACAGCAGAUAGGAGGAAGAUUAGAAGCAGCCAAAGAUAAACAGAACCCAUGAGAUUAUUCUGAGCAUCCUGUGCUGCUGUGGUACACAUGGUGGCUGAAAUUCUCCCCAGGGGUGUGUAUCACAAAGCUGCAGGUUUUCCCUCCAUGAUUAGGAGUACUGCUUCUGUUCACGUUACCAUGGUGAUACCAAGACUGAUUAAAGGGAGUUCUGUGAGGCAGUGUGUUCCAUGAACGUGUAUUCCUGUAUGUGUGCAUGCUAGGGGUAACACACACACACACACACACACAAACGCAUGCAUGCACAAGUCAUAUCUAAUUCUGAUUCUUUUGUUGGGUGGGAAUUUGAUGCCAGUAUUUACUUUAUUUGGAAUCUUAGUCCUCGUAAGUAGGUCAUCAGUUAGAGGUAGGAGAACAUCCUGUUAUACAGAAAUGUUGACAAUUGUAACUGUGGGGCUUCCUGAGGCAACGUUUUCCCUUCUCAAGACCAAAGGUGAAAUAUAGGUUGGAGAGAGGUGCCAGGGGAAAGGUAAAUAUGAGGACUGCCUUAAGAAUUUUUUUCUUCUUUUUUUUUGUAAAGUCCAUUGGAACCUUCUUGGGCAAAUCAGGAGCAGCCUUUAUUGUGUGUCUAGGUGUCAUGAAUUCCGAAAAGGUGAUAUUGUGAUGUGGUGUGGUGUUGUUUGUUCUGCCUCCUGGGAAGCAGCUUUCAAACUCAUUGUUCAAGUGUCCUUGGAAUGAAAAAGACAAACCAUCCCGUCAAGGGAACAAUAGUUUCUACUUAGGGGGAAAGUACAUCUUGCCAAUUUCAGUUUGCAUUGUCCCAAACAUGUUUGUAAAACUCUACCCUGAAUUAUCUGUGAUGAAUACAGUAUAAAGUUAACCCCCCACAUGGAAUGACUAACAAAAGCAGAUGCGAAACAGCUAACAAAGAAAGCAAACACAAAGAUAAAACAGCAUGCGUCAAAUCCUAUGUCAAUCAUAAGAAAAUGUUUUUCACAUCUAAUCAUCGAAGAUUAAAGGCUGGAUAUUUAAGGAAUGUGAAAGAGGAUGUCCUUCAGCAAACAAUUUAAAUAAGGCAAGAAAUGAACGUGAUAUUUUCUCCGCCUCCUCUCUUCUGACUGAGAAGAUGAUUCCUGGAGAUAAUCCACUUGGUUAUCCGUGGAUGUGAACAUAAUUUGGAGGCAGCAGUCACUCCAGAUGGCCCGCUGAAGCUGGGAGUCCUGAGUUAAUUUCAAGCCAAAUUUCUCACUCCCUGGAGGAGCAGAGUGGAGGGUGUGUGUGCAUGGAGAAGUCCAAGAUUUCAUAUCUGGAAAAGAAGACUGGGAGAGGCCAGCAUGAAUGGCCACUGUCCUCGCCAAAUCUGGAUGGUAUGUCUUAGGUGAUACUUGCACCAGUGAAGCUGAAGAUCACAAUUACUGCCUCAAAUACUCACUGCCCUGGAAACCGGCCACCUCUGCUCCAAAGCAAGGGCUUGCUAUGUGCUGACCUUGUGUCCCAGGCUCCACCCCUGCUGCUUGUUCCAACGUCUUGCUCUCUGUCUUCCUCCAAUCCGACUGCAGUGGGGUUGGCAAGUGUAGGUGUGGGGGUGGGAGUGGAGAUGUGGGUGGGGGUCUUUUCUCUACCACAUUACCGAAGCAUGGCUACAGGCUCUCUCAACUUAUGCAUAAGCCCAGACAUACUCCAGGUCCUCCCACUGAGCCACUUCCUUAUUUCUGUGUGGCACAGGUCCACCCGGCUGUACAAUUCCAAGGGGCACCAUUCACAUCAUAUUCUCUGAGAAUGGUGCCCUCACACACCAUACACAACAACAGCCCUGACACAGCCAGGAAACUGAUUCCUCCCGUGGAACCUCCUAAUGCCUCUUGGCUUGACUCACCUCCAGCCUGACUGUGAGGAAAGUUCUGUCAUCCCCCAAGAGUGACUUAUAGUCCAAGUUCGCUGGUAAUGGGGCCAUCCAUUCCCUUCAGGGAAAGCUCCACCCCAGGAAGACAAUUCCCAAAAGCUCUGACAUUCUAAGAGGUCCCAAACUAAAUGCUAUUCAAGCUUGCCCAAUCUUAUUAUCCUGGUUACAAGUAUAACAAUUAAAAGACAUUUGUAGACAUUACAGUGUUGGGAACAAAUAUAGCUUUUUAAAAAAGGAAAGUAAACUUACUCAUGUGCUUGCCAAGUCUCAAUCAAAAGGUGCCAUAUGGAAAUGGUAUAAAUAUGAUUGGCCUCCAGCACUGGCCAACUUUGAAUCUCCCUGGAGCUCACAGAUGGGAUGCCACAUGGAUUAGAUCCAAAGGCUUGGUAAUUUGGUCCUCGUCCUUUCCUAGAUAGUUCUCGCUGGAAGAGAGUGAGAGGAAACAAUAUGGUGUUCCACUGGAAAAUAAAUGGAGGCCUGUCUGUCUGCAGUGCAACCAGUGUUUCAAAAAAGACCUCCCCUUCUCCCUCCACACUUCUAAACUAGCCCCAGCAGAGCUGGCUCCCAGGUGUAGAAGUGGGUGAUGAAUGUCACCUGAAAAUUAAGAAGCUGAAUAGGAGCAAGGGCAGGAAGGAGUAGCAACCAGAGUCAACCACACCGGCCCAUUUUCUUUCUUUCCUUUGUUCGGCCUACUAGGGCUUCAUUUGUACCCACUCACCUCUUAGUAAAGGAGCACUUCUCUUUGCCUCUCAGGUGUCAUACCUUUUCCUAUCUGGGGCCUAAAGAGAGCAACAAACUGUUCACAUGCACACAAUUGUCAAGGGGCGGAGCUAAGAUCUACAAUGUGAACAGUCAGAAUCUGUGGCAUGGUUCCCUUGAAAGUGAUCCCGGGCUCCCAGAAGACCACAGCUCCUGAAAGAGGCAUCCCAUUGAAUACCAGCAAAAUACUCUCCCUCCUGGUUGGUUCCAGGUUGUUCUUCCCAUUGCCCAUCUUCAAUAGUUUCACCACCCUGCCUCUUUUCACCACUCUUUCCAGCUUUUUUUCCCACAUCUUCCCAUCUGAUGCCAAAUGUCCUGGGCAAAUGGAACAUGGAACACUUCAGGAUCUCAACUUCCCUUGCUCAGAUUGAAGCCACAGUUUCUCUGACCUCAGGAUUCAGUUUUUUAUUUUUUUCUACCCCAAAAUUAUACUGCAUAUUCCUGCCAGGGUAAGCUUUCUGCAAAACACAUUGACUCCAUCUGUGCUCCUGCAUGAGAAGCUUUGAGGCUCCUCACUGCCCAGAAAAUAAAGCUGGAGCUCCUUUGUAUGACACCCAAGACCUUUUGCUAUCUAUUCAUCUAUUUCCUCAACCUUGUCUCCUAGAACCUGGGAUCCAAGCCACACUCAAGUCACAGUCUUUCCUGAACACAUCACAGCAUUUUAUGCCUAUGAGCUGCCUUUUCACUCCAUCUCCCCCUGCUGAACUCUUACACAUCCUUCAAAAGAAACUCAAAUAGUUCCUUCAAAAAAUCAUUAUGACUAUUUCUCUUCUUAGAUUGACUCAUCAAGACUAGAGCUAUAUCCUUUUAAAUAUGUCUGCUGCCCAAUGCAGUCGCUGGCACACAGUAGGCUCUUCAUGAGAUUUUAUUAAGAAUGUUUUAUUGAGCACCUACUAUGGGUCAGGCUCCCUCCUAGGCCCCAAAGGUAUAGAAAUAUAAUAACCAACACUCUUAGGAUGCUCCUUGGGGCAAAAUGAGGAAUGUCCUCUCUUAUAUCACAGAAUCCUCACUUCUUUAUAAUUGACUCACAGCACCUAAGAUAUGUAUUAGUGGUGGCUGUUACAUGCAUGUUUUUCCAGUCACAUAUGCCUCAUUCUAGCCACAAGCUUGUUUCUAAGAAAUAGGUAAGUGAGGCUGGGUUCAGUGGUUCAAGCCUGUAAUCCCAGCACUUUGGGAGGCUGAGUUGGGCGGAUUGCUUAAGCCCAGGAGUGUGAGACCAGACUAGACAAUAAUGGCAAAACCCCAUCUCUACAAAAAGUACAAAAAAGCCAGGUGUGGUGGCACACAUCUAUAGUCCCAUCUACUCUGGAGGCUGAGGUGGGAGAAUCACUUAAGCCAGGAGGCAGAAGUGGCAGUGGGCCAGUAGCAGAUAGCACCACUGCACUCCAGCUAGGGUGACAGAGCAAGACCCUGUCUCAAAAAGCAAACAAACAACAACAACAAUAAACCAAAAAGAAAACAAAACAAAACAAAACACAAAAACCAGAAACAGUAAAUAAGUGAAAUUUUUAUAAAACUUUCACUAACAAGCCCUUAAACCGAAAAUAUUGUUGGUGGACUUAUUACAAUACAUUAAAUCUAUCUGCUUUGGUAGAUACAUAUAAUUCCUGAAAAAAACAGAUCCUUACAAAUGUGUAGCCAGUGUAUCAUGUGUGUGCACACAUGCAUGCAUGCAGCCAUGUUAUUAACAUUCUUUGGUGUACAAUGGGGCAGGCCUUGGGUCCAAUUAUGUUCCCAGGAUCCAGGGUGCAGCUGAAUGCAGAACCUCUACUACACAGGUGUCAUCCUUGGCUACUUAAUUGUUAAACUACUUUCCUUUGUGACGGCAGAUGAUGGAUGCAAGAGAGAGAAGGUCUAUUUACAACCAACUUUUCUUUCUCAUGAUACUGCCUCAGAGAAGAGAGUAAGAGGAGCAAAAUCAAAUAUUCAAUAGAAAUAGUAAAAUGGAAUUGAUCUGCCUACACAAAAUAUAGAUGAUUCCCUUAAUUUCACUCCAUUGAACAUGAUAUAUACAAAAAUUAACAAACACCUACUGCUUAGAAGUCUGCUCCUUAGGGCAAUCAUUUGAGAAGGUUAUAGAGUAUUCUAGGCCCAAACUAGAAAUGGGCUUUUCCCCUGCUGCGGUCAUAAUCGUUGACAAAGACCCAUCUGCAGAAGGCAGGGAGAUAUGUCCUAUCCAGAUUUCAAACUUGUAGACCUAUCAGUUUUGGAAACUGGAGGAGCCUGUGACCUCCCUCUUCCUUCUUUUCCCUUUUCCCUGUAGCUGACUCACACUCUCAGCUGAAAUCUGAGUUCAGAAAGUUCUGCAUGCUUGCCUUGCUGAAGGUAACACAGAGCCUCCUUUUCCCAAGCACUAUCAACAUUUUGGAAGUGUUUUCACUCAUUUUUAUACCUGUUAUUUACCUGGAUGGCCUAGCAGAUAGAAAGAAGAAGCCUUGCUGUCCCUCGUGGGUCACAGGCACAUGUUCAAGGCAGGGGAGGAGGCAGCAAGAAGAGGAAGAGGCCCCAGGAACAGAGCAAAAGAAGACCUGGAGAUCCCCCACAUCCCUGCUCCUUGGGAUCCUAUUUCUUUCCAGGCUUCUACAGCUUGUUCUUUGCAGGGAACUUUACUCCCCACUCUAACUAAGGAUUUUAUUUGCAGCUGUCAGCAUGCAAGGCUGAAAUCUUGUUUGUGCCCUGGGUUGGUGUGCCCUGGGUUAUUAUGCUCAGCUGUCAGCCUUAGCCUUUUAAAAAACAAUUCACUUACAGGAUUGUUUGGAUGGCAUUAAUUUGCAGAACGAAUUGCUGGGAAGAGGAGGAGGUGGAGGAGGACUGCCCCGAUGAUGUCAGGAAGACUUUCUGGAGAGCACAUGUUUCUGGGUGACAUAUAUCUCCUGGGUGAGGUUGGGUGUACUCAAAAUACUGGCUGAGCAUUUGAGAGGCCACAGAGGUGCAAAGGCAGAACUGGAGACUGGAGAAAACCUCCCUCCAUCCCAGCUCCUUGAGGGUGGUCAGCUUGUAUUUACAGCUGUUCGGUGACCCUAGAGGGGGCUGAGGGAGGAAAGCAUUGGCAGGAGAGGGGUCAUUAGCAGCUACGCAUUUGUCCUGCUGCCCUUCUGAGUGUUGCUCAAUGCUUAGAUACUGCUCCGUGUGGUCUCACGCAGUGCUUUGAGCAACACAUCGAGGAGGAAGGAAACUUUUUUUCUUGAGUCCUUUGCCCAGUUCAGUGCUGACUUCAGUUAGGACUGUUGGGAGCAUUUCUCUGGAGACACGGUGACCCUUUUGAAAAUACUCAAAAGUUCUGAGCUCCAGUCUGAGGACAUUUAACACAGGGCAGGAUACCAGUUCAUCUCCAAACCACCUAUGGCAGAAAACAGCAGGGAGUGAACCUAGGAAGAGAUCAAGACACGCUCUCACAAGGAAGCAGCACAAAUGCGCAUUUCUUAAGAAUGAGGUUGGGCAAGUCAGGAGGGUAGGAACCCUCUGCUCAGUCAAACAAGAACUAGGGAGAUGGGAAUGUCCAAGGGGAGGCAGUAGAAGGGUAAAGCAAGGCAGGCAGGUGAGUCAUCAAGGGCUCUGGGGAAGUGGGAUUUGUUGAGGUGAAGCAUUGCUGCACUAUGGACCUUCUGCCAUGCUUUAACUUUUAUACCAGGUAACUAGAUAUCUGGGACAUUUCCUUUUGCAGGCCAAACUCUGGCUUUUAAAAAAGAUAUGUAAGAAAAGCAAAGCAAGGUUCCGUGAAGAUAGGAGAUUUGACUGACUUAUUGUCUUAUCCUCAGAUUUAGAAUAAUGCACGCAGUGGGUGCUCCAUAAAUAUCUGAGGAAUGAGCAGGCUGCCCAGUGAAUUCAGUGCAGCGAUUUUCUUCUACAGCCUCUGUUUUUCUAUGAAAGGGGAAAGUGUCCUCCAUCUUUCAAAGGGAACACUUGGGGUUACUAAGGGCUCUAUGCAAUACAUACUUUUUGUAUGGGUCAUUUUAAUUGUUUAGUUAUUUUAUUCCUUUCGUUCAGCAAAUAUUUAUUGUGCAGUUAGUACUGUAUAGGUAAUAAGCUUAGUAUAUGUGAAUACAAUGGUAAGCAAAAUAGACUGUGUGCACCGUGCAGUCUCAUAGGCUGUAGUUCUCUGAGACCAUUAUUAGAAUUCCAGGUUUUAAUUAACUGAUCAGUUUAACCAAGCCAAAGCAACCUACCAAACCAACAAACAAAAAAACUACAUCCAAAGCACUGGCCCCUUUGAACUUCAGAACUUCUCAUGAACAUCAGACGAUACACAUGACUCAGUCCUCUAGGUUAGAAAGAAGCUUGAGAGGACAUUUUAGACUGGCCCUUAUGUAUUAGUCACAAUAGGCUGGGUUAUGCUGCAGUAAAAAAUUAACGCUGAAAUCUCUUCAAUUUAAGACAACAAAGGUAUAUUCCUUGUUUAAGCAAAGCUCCUUAUGGAUGGCUGCUUCCACACAGUGACUCAGAGAUCUAGUCUGCUUCUAUCUAAUGAUUCAGCAUCUAACUAUGUGGCAUCCAUGUUACCAUGACUUGAGAUCAAAGACUGUAGGCAAAUGCCUAGAGACUGUCCACUGUCUUAGUCUGGAAGUGACACAUCCACUUCCCCUCACAGUUCUUUGGCUAGGACUAGUCACAUGACCACAUGCAACUGGGAGGGGGCUGGGAGGUGGGUGGGAACACAUGGAUAUUUGAUGAGCAGUAAAUAUCUCAGCCACACUCAUUCUUUACACAAAACUCCCCCUGAAUUAUCAUUCUGAAGAACUGAGAAACAACAUUGAAACAAUUGAUAGAUGAGAUGUAGAGAAUAGAUUUUUCAAAUAAAUGAGUCAAUUUCCUUUCUAGGCUAUUUAUCUGAGACUAAUUUGGAAAUUAAAGGAAUAUAGUUAGUUAUUCCUCUUUCUAGGUCAGAGGAAUUCACUAUUGACUUUCUUGUACAUCCAUCAUUCUUUGAUUUCUUUCUUAGGUCAGGAAAACUUCAUCUUAUGCUGCAUAUUUUCAGGUGGUAAGGUUUAUUUUUUCAUCCUGGUAAAAAGAGAUAACACUCUAGAUUGUAAAUUUGUUUUAUUUUCUCUUAAAACUCUAUGGUAGUAGCAUUACCUGCCUUCCGAGUGUUUCCUUUGCAACCCUUUGUCUACUGGACUCCUAUUUAUAAUAAAUAUUUAGCGGAUUGUGUCUGAAAUGUUAGAAUAACAUUUGCUUUUUCUAGAGUCACUUUUUGUUACUGGAUAGAAAGCAUCAACUUGUUUCUUUGUGUUUCUUCUGCCAUUGGGGCUUUUAUUAAAUUAAAUGUUGUAGCAUGUCAUUUAUUUCUAAUUCAGCGGCAGAUUUUUGCCUAAGUGUGCCCUGAUUGUGUCCUUGCUUGCUCAGGCACCUUCUCCAAUAAACUAUAGUCUUGCAAUUAGCACUAGACCCAUGAAAGAAAUAUGUUGAAAUAUGAUAAUUUAUUCCAUUUGCUAAUAUAAGUUUAUUCCUUGGUAGUAUUUUCCAAAGCCACAUGGAUUUGAUUAUUCUUAAAUCUUCACUUCCUAGUGAUGGUUCUUUCAUUAUAUUAUAAAUUAUCUGAUUAUAAUUCAGUGGCAUAAACUCUUGACUUCGUGUUUUUUCUUUUUUUUAACUUGCAGUUGAUAGUACUUGAAAUGUUGGUAGCUUCAUUAUGGAAUCCAAAGACACUAUUACUCUUUGAAAUUGGAAAACGCUAUUGCCUAACUGGAGUUUAUUAGAAAAGAAACCAAUUUGGGGGAAAUUCAGUAAUGCAAACUUGAUCUCAGACGUAACCACUAAUAGGAACUUUGAGUGAAAUUUUGCCUUGCAGCGACUUAUCCAGAGAGAAAAAGACUUCUCCUUGGAAGGAAGGCUGAAACUUUUUUGUUUGUUUGUUUUGUUUUUUAGUGUUUCAUACUCAAAGGUUUGUAAGGUUAAAGCCAUACUCCCUCUUCUUCCUUUUAAUUUACUGAACCAGAAUUGUUAGGAAUUUUUCUUUUCACACUCUUUUAAAAUUUUUUGAGCAUCUACUAUGUGUUAGGUCCCAGAAGAAAAGACAGCUGGGCUCUCUACCCCCAUGGAGUACUGGUUCUAAUGAGGGGGAAAAGGAAACUCGGAAUUACAAGAUGUUGCCAGCAGAUAUGCAGAAUCCCAGGGGAGCCCAAGGCAGAGAUCCUAUUUCUAACUUGCUGAGACCAGACUUUUCAUCCUAGAAGAAGCGUAUCUACGUUGAGACCUGAAGAAUGAGAAGUAGUUAACCAGAGACUUGGAAGAAAACAAGAAAUGCCAAGGCAGAAUUUCUUGAGCUGUGAUUCUCAAACCACCUAGAUCAUAAAGAUAUAAAGGGCACUGUUAUAAAAGCAGAUUCUGGGGCUCUACCUCAGAUCCACUGAACCAGAACGUCUUUCAGGAGGAUGAGGAGUUUUCAAUUAAGAACUGAGGCUCAAAGAGGAUAUGGACAUUUCCCAAGAUCAACAAGUAGCAAGUGGCUGAGAUGACAUUUAAAAUGUUAAAGGAACAUGGGGCCAAAAUAAAAGGUGCACAACUGGCAUUUAGUGCAUAUGGGAUCCUUCAUAUGUUUUAAUUGGGAUUGCAAGGAACUCUUGAGCCCAAAGAGGUUACAUAGGUAUGUAUUGUCACAAUACAUAGGCACAGUGGGGAGGGGUAUGUGAAGGACCAAAAUCAAAUGGUAACCCUAGAGGGGUACCUCCAGGGCAGGAACUAGGAUCUGUUUGGAGGUGAGGAAGUCCUGAGGACCAGCUCCUCUGGGUCCAUUCUGAUCUCUUGUCUUUGCUCUUAGAUCUGCUCUCAGCCUAGACUUUUGCUUAUUUGUUGCAUCUGCUUCCUCAUCCUUCCUCUUACCUUGUUGCUCCUGUGCUGGACUCCACCUCCUGGUUCCUCCCCAUACAUUCUCUUAGCUUCCACUCCCACUGCCAGCUGCCUCAUUCUCUCAGAAUUUCUUGGUUUAUAAUCUUAUUUAAUCUUAUUAGAGACAAAGUCUCUUACUGUGUCACCCAAACUGGAGUGCAGUGGCACAGUCAUAAGUCAUUGCGGCCUCAAGUUAUCUUCCUGCUUCAGCCUCCUCAGUACCUGGGACUACAGGUUUGCACCAUUAUGCCAGCUACUGGUUUUUGUUUUUGUUCUUUUUCCAUAGAGACGGAGGCGAUGGGGGCGGGGGCGGGUCUUGCUAUGUUGCUCAGGCUGGUCUUGAACUCCUGGCCUCAAGUGAUCCUCCCACCUCAGCCUCCCAAAGUGCUGGGAUUAUAGACAUGAACCACUGUGCCCAGCCUGUAUUCUUGAGAGAGCGAAUCUGAUAAGUCCAGCUUAUCAUGCUUAUAAGAUUGCUGGUAGGGUGCUAUACCUGACUACAAUCAUUUUGGCUGAAGAGGGGAAACAGGGAGGCUGUAUAUUAAAAACCAUGGUUGCCUGCAGGCCAUGCUCUAUGGCAUGUCUGUAAGCAGAACAGGCACAAUUGCCAUUUCCAGUUCAAGUUUUUAUUCAAAAGCUCUUAGAAUGUCUUACAAUGAAACAACUCUUGUUGUCUGCCACUCCCAAGUCCUUGUGAUUAGCUAGGGUGGGUAAGACUACUUACUAUUCCGAAUGUCUUGCCUAGUUGAAAGUAAAGUUUGUAAACUCCUUUAAGGUAGGGAUUUUUGUUUGUUUUGCACAUUAUUGUAUUCCAAGCACCUAGAACGGUUCCUGGCUAGAGAAAGCCUUUUGAUAAAUAUUUGUUGAAUGAAUGAAUAGAUGAUAUUAUAGCAUCCAGCAAGUCCCUAAUGUUGUGGAUCAGACACGGGGAAAUUGAAUUUACAUGCUGCCUUGGUCCUGGCUCCCAGUCAGUGUUAAUGCUGCCCUAACCAGAACACAGACAUGGAUGUAAUUCUCCAGACAGACCACUUAUUAUUUGCUUAAAAGCAAACACAAAUAUUUUUGGGUCAUCUGCUGCUUUCAAUUCUUGCUAAUAACUGAAAAUUAACUGUGUGGCCUGGGUAGGAAUCAGUUUCAAGAAUUCUCAAGGAACAAAGACACUAAGAAGGCAAUGCAUUGAAACCAGUGGUUCUCAACAGGGAGACAUUGACAAUGUGUGGAGACAUUUUUAAUUGUGGUUAAAUAAACAUAAUAUAAAAUUUACCAUCUUAACCACUUUUAAGUGUACAGUUCAGUAGUAUUAAGUUCAUCUGCAUUGUUCUGCAACCCGUCUCCAGAACUCUUUUCAUCUUGCCAUAAUGAAACUCUAUACCCAUUAAAUAGUAACUCCCCAUUCCCUCCUCCCUUCAGUCCCUGACAACCAACCACUCUUCUACAUUCUGUCUCUAUGAAUUUGACUCUAGGUGCCUCAGAUAAAUGGAAUCAUACACUUGUCUUUUUGUGACUGGCUUAUCUCACUUAGCAAAAUGUCCUCAAGGUUCAUCCAUGUUGUAGCAUGUGUCAGAAUUUCCUUCCGUUUUAAGGCUGAAUAAUAUUCCAUUGUAUGUAUACACCACACCUUGUUUACACAUUCAUCCAUCAGUGGACAUUUGGGUUGCUCCCACUUUUUGGAUAUUGUGAAUGCUGCUUUUAUGAAUAUGGGUGUACAAGUAUCUCUUUGGAGACCCUGCUGUCAAUUCUUUUGGGUAUAGCCCAGAAGUAGCAUAUGGUAGUAAUUCUAUUUUUAAUUUUUUUUGAGGAACUGCCAUACUGUUUUCCACAGCACUACAUCAUUUUACAUUCCCACCAACAGUGUACAAGUGUUCCAAUUGCUCCACAUCCUCACCCACAUUUGUUGUUAUUUUUAAUAACUGCCAUCCUAAUGGUUGUGAUGGGAGACAUUUUUAGUUGUCACAGUUUCUGGGGGCUGCUACUGGCAUCUAGUGAGUAGAAGUCAGCGAUGUUGCUAAACAUCCUACAAUGCACAGGACAGCCCUCUGCAACCGAGAAUUAACUAGCACAAGACGUCAAUAUUGCUGAGGCUUAGAAACCCUGAUUUAAACAAUCAGGUUAAUAUUUCAUAGUAAAACUCAUCCCUCCAUACCUGUGUCCUUUCUUUUCUUUGUUGAAAUGCUCAAAGGCAGAGACCACCCCUAAAAUCUGGAAAGUGAGGGAGGGCUGAGAAGAAUGGCAACAUUUCUUUUAUUCAAAUUUUAUUGGAAGUUUACAAAUGUAUUACAGACAUCAGUAAAACAUCAUAUCCAUUUUACAGGGCACGGAUCUCAAGCAAAGUGUUCAGAACAGUCUCUGGCAGAGCCCACACCAAAGGCCUGUUGCAGACCUUCUUAACAAAUAGCUUGACACUCAACACAGAACACAGACUCUGGCCUGCCUCACCUUCCCAGGCCCUUUGAGGUUUUGUUUAUGCACUUGAAAUGAAAGCAGGAGAUGGACAAAGCAAUCCUGUGGAGGAAAGAAUGAGUUUAGGAGAGGAAAACCUGCCGAAGUCCUAAUUUGCUAAAAAAAAAUUAAUUAAAAAAUGGAGGACUCAUAGUCCUUACAAUGUUAAGUCAGGGUCUAUGACAGAAUCAUGACACUUUAUGGAAAGAUAUGAAAAUCAACUAGGUAGGUUUAAGAACAGACCUUACUGGUAAGUAACUCUCUCUGAAAAAUUUAGAAAAGCUUGGUCAGUGACCUGUUGAAUAUCAAUGGCCAAAUGCCAAGCAGAGUGAAGGGAUAUCUCAGAGAACUCUCAGAAUAGAACAAGCAGAUUUUUCUCUAUCCUAUGGAUUCAUCGUAUUCAAAACACAGGAAUGUUUUCCUAACACUAUGUGACUUUCCCCUCCUUUAUAUUUCCUUGAGGAAAGCUAGUUUUGUCAGCAGGAAGUAAGCUUAUAAAAUAGUAUGGCUCCCAAUAGUGAGUCAUAUUUUAUGGGAGUCUUGUGUUGACUAGGCUACUAUUAUGAGAAAAUGGAAAAAGAAUCCAAUUUUUUCUUGAUCUUUACUUUGAGGACUACUUCCAAAUGGUCAUAAGAAUAAGCUCUGGUAUCUGCUGAGGCACCAGAGGGACAAACCACUGGAGACAAGGCAAAGGCCAUUUCUACUUCUCUUGUGCUUAAAGAAAUGUACCUCAAAAGGUGGCGAUCUGAAACUGCCUUCAACAAUUGGCAGUGGAGGCUUGGCUACUGAGUCUUGCAUAUGCAAAUGCUGUCUGCAGAGCCCAUUUUAAAGCCCUGAAGGUGCAAAACAGUUGCUAAUAGCAACUGUCCUGGCAUGAAGUAUUCAGAUAACUGGUUCAGUUUUCCACUUUCCUUUGUCAUGGACGGAUCUUCCUUCUUAGGCUUAAGCAUCUGUUUUCUGCUAGAAAUACACAAAGAACACUUCUCCUUGGAAUUUAAAUAUUUAUUUAUUUUUUGUUAGAAGGUGGGAUUACAUGAAGAAUAAGAUGAAGUCUUACCUCACCUCUGCAAAAUGAAGACUGCCUAUAGUAAUUGGCAGAGAACAUGAAAAUGGCCAAGGAGGUAAAGAGAUUUUUUUGUCCUUUAGCCUAAGAAGUCAGCUUCCUCGAGCCUCCACAACCUGGGAUGGGGGAGGGGCAGGUGAAUUGGAGUCUCCGAAUUACUUAUACAUAUUGGUUCCUAAAUGUUCGUAAUUAUGCUUCCUAAACUGUUUUUGUUCUACGGCAAGAGAACCAAGAGUGGAAAGACAGAUAUGAAUCAGUUCACAAAUAAGAUUGGUUAUCAGACCAAUAAGAUCAGUUCUGAUCAACUGGUCCUGGCUGGUUGGAGUGUUGCAAAGAUCUGUGAGGCUGCAUCCACAUUCUCAGCAAGAGUAUACAGUGAUGCAUUGGUUGUAUCUGCUCAGCUUGCAGGGAGCGCAGAGCACAUGCUACAUAUAUGUCAUCACAGGCCUCACCUGAAUUGAACAAUAGCUAGUAGUACCCAAGAAGCAGAAAGCUGCUGCAGAAGGAAGAAAACAUAAUCUUGUUAUAGUGCAGGAACAUCCUACAGGAAAUGAGGAUUAGAAAGCACUACUUCCAGAUCCUGUAUUAGAAACACAAAAUUGCUCAUUUGCUCGACUGGUUGGGGGUAGAAAGGAAGGAAUAAAAAAUAAAAGGUGAAAGUGGAAAGAAGGUGUCAAACAACCCACACCAGGACUUCUUCCUUGGAUGUAUGAAAAACCAGGAAGCAUGGUUCUGAUCUCCCUUACCUCAUUCACCUUCACACUUGGUAGAGAUCCCACAACUAUAUGACAGAAGGAAAGCGCCCUGAAUACCAUCCUCAAUGCCACCUGGCUGCCAAGAAGCCUUUUCACAGUACCAAGGGUGGUAUGGAUUGGCAGAGCCACUCAGGAAACUGUCAAUGACUUAUACUUCCUGGGUCUGGGAACAAGCCAGCUAUGUUGCUACUGAAUUGAGCAGCAAUAGGAAAUGAACUCAACUCCGAAGUUGCAGUUCUAACCAAAAGACAAGAAGAUCAAUAUUAGGAGAGGUGGGAAAAAUAACAACCAGGGCAUUGGAGAAGAGAGAACGCUGGAAAAAGAUUACUAUUCUGGAAAUCAGUCUCUUGAAGAUGGAAUUAUGAUCUAAGAGGAAGUGAGUACAGGCCCUACUCACAGGAGGAGCUUGUCCAAUAAGAGUUAAUGGUUGUGAUGGAGGAAUUAGGUGAGGACCUUAAGUUCUUGCCUCAGGAAAUAAUGCAUUGGGAGUGGGAUUCUGGGAUGUGAUGUGUGAGCUAUCACUAGCAGGCAGAAUUCCAAAUACAGUGAUGUCCUUCUCCUCAAUAGGGCAUUCGCUUGGGGGUUCUGCCAUCAUUGUAAGGAAUUGGCCUUCCUCAUUCAGCAUUCUCUGUAAGGUUGCAUUUGGGGUCAGAAGAAAUCUGCAAUGGUAGAAUUGAGGGAGGUAAUCUUGCUAGUAGACAGUUUUACCCUGAAGCUUGUAUGUCAUUUCAUCUCAAGCUCUGAGCAGUUCAGUGCCUGGAUGCUCUCUGGGCAUCUAGACUUAUGCCUCCAGACCCCUCCGGGCACUGGCCAUGUGUCAGUUUUUAGGCCACCUUCUUUCUGAUGAUGGUGGUUGAAGCUUUCUUUGAGAAAGGUAAGAGGUAUUCUGAGAAAAACAGAGUUAGGAAGCAACUUUUACUGGGAGAAUUUCUUUCACUGGAUUUGGGGCCACAGAGGACAGACAUAUUUUCAACCGUUUGCUAAGAUAAGUGAUCUACUUUUCCCCCUCUCUUUUUCCAAAAUUGCCUUUUUAGUUUCAUCAAUCAAGGAACUUAAAACUCCAAAUUGGACUCGCACAAUUUCUACCAGAAACCUGCCACUUUAGUAGCACGGUAUUGCAAAUUAUUUCUUAAUCAGUUUGCCAAGCAGUUUACAAACUUACUAUACAAACGUAAUAGAGUUAAUUCUCCGGAGGCUCGGAUAAUUAAUGAAGCAUUUAGAUAUGAAGAUAGCAUGCGGAAAACAGCCACAACCAACAUGUGCAUUGCUUUUUUAAAAAAAUCAGUGACAAUGACAAAUGUCAUAUUAAUACCUGAAAAGCAAAUUAUUUUAAUACAUCCCGAAUGGAGUGCCAUUACCAUGUCCUUUACAGCCUUCCUUUCCUCAGACCCAUCUGGGACGGGGUCUGAAAUGCCACUUUUGACAUUCUCUCCAUAAAAAAUACUAGAAAAUGUUAACUACUAUACUGAAAAGAGAUCACGCUCACCUCACCAUGGCAGAUGGCCACUGAGAUACACCGGGCACUACAUCGACAGUACAUCUCACUACAGGUGGGUCAUCCGAUGGAUUAUUUCAACUGCCACAAUCCAUUAAGGGGAGGAGGAGGAUGGAAGAAACCAAGUGCUUCAUUUUUAACUGAAGCAAGGUAGGGAGUUUUAUUUUACUAUAAACAGCACAACCGUUAAAUGUCUUCAUUAAGCAAACUCACUUUUGAGCCCAUUUUCUGACCAACAGUCCUCAAAGUUCAAAAUGGAAAUACCCUCCCAACAAAGCCUGUUUUUUUAAAGACAUUGCACCACUGAAAUCUCAGCAGCUCAACCUUCCUGGGUAAUCCAGAUACUCUGGUUACUAAGCUGGUUACACUGGACUCUUUCUACAAUCUCUGGGAGCUCUUCGAGGUGGUUGUCACCUGUCCUCUGUUUCAUUUCCAGUUCUUCUUUUCCCUGACCUGCCUUCAGAUUCUCCUUUAACUUCUACCCUUGACCUGCCUUCUGUUUUCAAAUAGCCUUGUUCCUUCUCCAGGCAUGACAUGUCACACACCGUCCCUCGCAGAGCCCCCUCAGAAUCCUUCUGUCCCUCAAUCCCAAAUGCUUAAGUUCAUUUGCUUUGAGGACAACCGGUUGUCAGGCUAAGGCAGCAGUUCUGUCUGCCUUGGUAAAGGAAAGCAGAUAAUACAAUCCAGGAAACAUGAGCACCAGAACAUAAUGCCACAUUCAAAACAACGUCAUGCUGACAUCACACAAUGGCACCACUCACAGUCACUUUUACUUUCCCCAAGGGAUAGAUCAACAUUAAGUAACUUCAACAUUCCCAGCAGGGAUGGCAUUUCUCACAGAAUUUUACUGACACCGGUUGGUUUCUCUAAUUGGCAAAAAUUACAUUUGCAAUUUAAAAAAAAAUUACUACCACUUUGUAGAAAAUAAAUUCUACUGAGGGUGGGAGCAGACUUAAGGAUGGCUCCUUAAGAUGGAACGGAGCAUAAAAUGCUUUGGGUCUAACAGUUAUGUUUUUUCAGCCACAAAAAGCCAAAUUGAAUAUGUUCCUUUGAAAAAGGUCUCACUGACAUGUAACAAAUUUGUAUAGAAAAAAAAAAAAAAAAAAAAAAGGUGGUACCGGGCCACAUUUCAAUACUACUCAGAGACAAUGGUGGAUGUGCAUGCAAGUCCCCACUGAGUCCUACGAUAUAGAAAUUCCUUUGAUAUUACAAAAUACAAAAAUAUUUUAUCAGAACUCUCAUUUACAUUGCAUUUACAAUGGACAUGUAAAUAACUUAGUCUUGGGUCCUGGCUAAUAAACAAAUUACUUACUGAAAAAAGGGUCCUAAAAGUAAGAGAACCAGAGAGGAUAAAAGCGAGCAGGAAACAAUUUACCAUCUUGAGAGAUGGCAACUCAACACAGAACUGAUGGGAAGGAAGUGACCAAGCCUGGCCUCGAUAGAGUCUACUGUGUUUCCAAAGUGAAAUGUGCAAAUAAUAUUCAACAUGCCAAGAACUGUGACUACCUAUUGAGUCAACCUGUAACCUUGCCUCCAUCUACUGACAGCAUUUUCCCUUUUCUCCCCCAUAAGCCACCCCCAAAAGCGCUUUAACAUUUAAAACAGUGCAAGUUUCUGACUUUACAUUCUUAGCUCCCAUCUUCUCCCAUUCCCUGAUCCCAAUCAUAUUAAGAAAUGAUACAGUUUUUGCUCUUCUGUCUUUUCCUGCUGUGCAACUGUCCUCUGCCACCUAAUGUGGAAGAUUUGGGGAGGCCGUAGGAGCUGUAUUUGUGCAGCAGCUCAUCGCUUGUGACGUAUCGCAGGCGCGCUGGCUGGGGGAUGGGUUCUCCUAGGAAAUAGCCCUCGUUGUCAGACUCUGAAGAGGAGGAGCAGGUGGAACACCAAUCAUACUCGGCGAAGUAGGGUCCCCAGCGGUCCCCAAAGGCAUUCUGCAAAGCCAGGUCCGACACAGUCCUAGGGCACUGGCCGUACAGGUCCCUCCGGGACCCAUGCCCCAUGCUCUCCUGGAAGCUCCGCUGGCGCAUAAAUUGGUCAUAGUCCUCCCUGGCUCUCAGAGGGGGCCUAUCUUUUAACCGGGAGAUGGCCUCGCGUUCGCUGGCCAGGUGGAGGGCGUUGUCGGAGCGAGAGCGUCGGGAACGCCUGGACCUGUGAGGUCGGAAACGGCGGUUGUCGUCGCGUGAAGUAGCUCUUCUCCGGGUGCGUUCACUCAUGGGCUGGAUCCUCACGCCCUCCUGCCCUGGCAGCUUGCUGCCCGCCAUCCCUCCAUCAAAAUCAAAGCUCUGAUGCAUCCUUCCGUGGGACUGCAGGUCUCUGUAGCCAAUGGGGUUGCUGAGCUGGUGGAGGUUUCCCUCCAUCUCCUGGUACUGCUGGGCAGAGAGCAGGCUGCGAACUGACUCUGCGCUCCGGAACUGCAUGGACGAGUUAAGAGUGCCCAUGUUGCUCAGCUUCUCAGACACAUUCAUUCCAGAGUCUUUGCUGAGGUCAGGCAUGGAAAAUCGGGAUAGGUGCUCCUGGCGCUUGGCACCACCAUCAGCAGAGAGGCCUGGGGAAGAGAGGAGGGGACCACAGAGAUUAAUACAGAUGUGCAGCAAUGGGUAUCACUGUCACUGCUGGUCAUCUAUCUAGGGUCAUUAUAUACCGUUGUGAAGUUGUGUACUGCACAAAGGCCCUCUCAGGGGGCACAUGUGCCUGUGAGGGGGUUCUCUCCACUCCACAGUAGGUCACUAUCUACCUAGAGGGGGCACUUACUUAAAAUGCUUCCAGAGAUGUAUUUUACCAGUUACUAGUUCCUCCAAAGGCUCAUCAAAGUUACUAAGAGCCCACUGUGUAUCCUAUGUAUGAUGCUUCCUCUAUUUGGAGUUUCACUUUGCAAAGUACUUUAAUUACAUUUUUGAUUCUAAUCAUGCACUAUAAGCUCUGUAGGACAGAUAUUUUGGAUGAGCAAACUUUAAGCUCUAGAGGCUGGAUCAUGCCCAAGCUGUUUCUGGCAAUACCAAACACUGGUUCCACAAUAUUGGGCCAGUUCACUUCUCUGUUAGCCCGCAGCAGUUUCCUGCUUUGCCUGCUGUCCCUAAGUGGCAGGUGGCUCCCUAUCAAAAGUGUCUUGGACACUAAGUGACUCCCUAGAUAUAGAUAGAGAAAUAUUUACUCUCUCAGACCAUUCAGUGAAUGCUCCAAGGUUGUAAAUGGGUCUCUAGCAGCCAGAAGAUGUGUGUGGGACCCCAAGGGACCUCUCGGUCGCACGGGGAGGGACUUUCAAAAGUAAAGCAGUGGGUUUGAUGCUCUCAAACAGUGGGUGCCCCAGCAAUGGACCUCCAUUUCUUAACUGCUGUCAAAUGAGCUCUUGGCAUCCCUGAGAUGAAAACCAUUUUGAAGGUAGUGGGAGAUACUGACUGCAGUAACUUCCAUUUUGCUCAUUUUCAGGCAGAGCUCUCUAAGGAGAUGUUUAAGAAUGGGCCAGGUGGCAAAGUCUCAGCAUUUUCCACUCAUUACAUAUUGCAAGGAUCAGCAAUUUGCCAUUCCUGGUCAUAGACAACAUGCCUUUGGAUUGCAAUGGCCCAUUAUCACCCCUGCUACUGAUUAUUCCUGUCUCCUACUGGGGCCUCCAACUUCCUCUUCCGUGACAAAACCUAAAGCAGUGUUACGAGCACUUUGCAAAAUUACUUGGCAAUAUUUACUAAAGCUAAAUACACAUAUACGUAUAUGAAUUAUAAAUAAAGCCGCUCUGAAUAUCCUUGGCCAUUUUUUGUGGACUUAUGAAUUUCUGUUGGGUGUACGACCAAGAGUAGAAAUUCCACAAUUCUCCAUCUUCACUCUUGAUUAUAUAUUCAUCAGAAGUUAGUAAGAAGGUCCAAGAAAUGGACAAGGGUACUCAGAGAAGCUUUCUUGUAAUAGCCCAGAAACGGAAACAACUCAAAUGUCAAUUAUCAGGAAAAUGGAUAAAUAUAUUGUGGUUUUUUCUACCAUUCCCCACUAAAAGGAAUCCAGGCUCUUUAGAAAGAUGGCCAAUUCCAGGAUAAAGGCAAGGAAAUUAAAAGAACCAGGAUCUUGUUAUGCCAUAAAGUGAGAAAGUAUUAAAAAUAAGAUAUGGCAGGGGUUUGUCAGAAGGACACAGGGCCUAACUUGAAGGGGCCCCCACUGGCCAAAUCUGAACAAUUUGAGCACUCAAAUAUUUAAGUGAAGUAAUGAUUUAUAAACCACUGAAACAAAUAGGAAUUCACAAGUCCAUGCUGAUAGCAGAUAAAUAAAAACAUAAAUAAAUACACAAACAGGGAAAAGAGAGGGCUCUAUGUAUAGUGGAAUGCCAACCGCUGUCAGUAGAGUAAGUUCACAAGAAGGAAGGGGGUGCCAGAUUUGGAAAGUCAUUUUAUAACCAUUGGAGGUAGAGUGCUUCACACAAGAAUCAAAAAGUGUGCUAAAUUUAGGGGGUAAAAUUUGAUGGGGGAGAGCAUUGUUUUAAAGUGUUUCCCUACACAUUGCUUAUUAGUUGCAAGGGAAGAAUUAGUAACUAAACAAAGGUAAAAUCAGACAACACCUUGACCUUAAGUUCAAACUUAACAUCCCUGGUGAGAUGCAACUGCACCCUGCAUGCCUCCAGUUGAGAUGUACUCAGAAGGGCACACUAUCCCUUAUGUAGUAUUCCAGUCAAGAAUGUAUUACCCGAAUGCAUUCAGGAGGAAACAUUAGACAGAUGCCAAAAGGAGGGACAUUUGUUAUGAAAAAAGGGACUGUAGUCUUAAGACCAGACAAGACUGAGAGAAUGUUCUAGAUGAAAGGGUACGAGGGAAACAUGGCAAUUACAUAUAAUACCUGAUCCUGGACUGGAACCUGCUCUUUAGGGAAACUAAAUGCUAUAAAGUAGGGGUUCCCAGACCUCAGGCUACAGACUGGUUAGGAGCAGGGCCACACAGAAGGAGGUGAGUGGUCAGUAAGGGAAGCUUCAUCUGCAUGUACAGCCACUCCCCAUUGCUCCAACUACUGCCUGACCUCUGCCUCCUGACAGAUCAGCAGCAGCAUUAGACUCUCAUAGGAGUGUAAACCCUGUUGUGAACUGCUCAUGCAGGAUCUAGGUUGUGUGCUCCUUACGAGAAUCUCAUGCCUGAUGAUCCAUAACUGUCUCCCAUUACCCCUAGAUGGGACUGUCUAGUUGCAGGAAAACAAGCUCAGGUCUCCCACUGACUCUACCUUAAAGUGAGUUGUGUAAUUAUUUCAGUAUAUAUUACAAUGUAGUAAUAAUAGAAAUAAAGUACAUAAUAAAUGUAAUGCACUUGAACCAUCCCAAAGCCAUCCCCACCCCCUGGCCCCAGUCUGUGGAAAAAUUAUCUUCCAUAAAACCGGUCCCUGGUGCCAAAAAGGUUGGGGACUGCCUCUAUAAAGGAUAACUUUUGGUCAACUGAAAAAAAAAUGGAACAUGGGCAAUAGAUAAAAGUAUUAUGCUAAAUUUACUGUGGUCAAUUAAUAAUGGUGAUAAUGUGGGAGAAGAUCUUUACUCUUGGGAAAUAUAUAUGGAAGGAUAUGGUGGUAAAUGGCCCAGAUGGAUGCAAUUUGCUCUCAAAUGGUUUAUAAAUAAAAUGUGUGUGUGUGUGCGUGUGUGUGCAUGCAUGUGAACAUGAAAGAACAAAUGUGGCAAAAGGUUAACAAUGGAUCAAUCUACGUAAAGAGUACAUUACAGGUGUUGUUUGUUCUAUUUUUAUAACUUUUUUUAAGUCUGAAAUUAUUUCCAAAUAAAAAGUUUCUUUAACAUUAGAAUAUAUUCAUCUGAUAUGAUGGUUUUUAAUUCUGAAGGAAAUUUGGAAACAUCUGGACACAUUUUUGGUUGUCACUAUUAGGAUGGGAUUCUCCUGGCGUCUAGUAGGUAGAGGCCAGAGAUGUUGCUAAACAUCCUACAGUGUGAAGGAUGGCUUCCUUGCCUCCACACAGAAUUUUCCAAACCAAACUGUCAACAGUCUCAGAAGAAACCCUGAUAAAAUGGAAUAUUACACAAUAAUGAGAACGAAUAACUACACCCAAGAACAUGGAUGUAUCUCAUAGAAAAUGCUUGGACAUGCAAAAAGAAUAUGUGCUGUAUGAUUCCAUUUAUAUGAAGUUCAAGAACAGGCUGAGGCUAUCUAUAGUGAUACAGGUCAGGGCAGUGGGAGGAGGGGGUAUGAAGAAGGCUUCUAGGGCACUGCAAUUGUUCUAUAACUAAAUCUGGAUGGUGGCUGUAAAACAAUACACAUGUGUAAAAAUUCACUGAGAUGUAGUUUUAAUAUUGGUUUGCUUUAUUCUGUGUAAAUUAUAUCUCAAUAAAAUGGAGUAAAAGUAAAGCAACGUUUGGCCAGGUGUGGUGGCUCAUGCCUGUAAUCCCAGCACUUUGGGAGGCCAAGGAGGGUGGACUGCUUGAGCUCAGGAGUUCAAGACAAACCUGGGCAACAUGGUGAAACCCUGUCUCUACUAAAAAUACAAAAAUUAGCUGGGCAUGGUGGUGCGUGCCUGUAGUCCCAGCUACUUGGGAGACUGAGGUGGCAGUAUCACCUGAGCCCAGGAGGUGGAGGCUGCAGUGAGCCGAGAUUGUGCAACUGUGCUCCAGCCUGGGCAACAGAGCGAGCCCCUGUCUCCAAAAAAUAAACAAAUAAAUAAAUAAAAAAUAAAACAAUGUUUGUUAAAGGGUCAAAUUUUAACAUUGGAUAUGCCUAUAAAGAAAUUAAUCAGCUAAAUAUCAUAUACUCCAGUAAUUUUUUGUUUCAAUUUCGUUCCUGGGAUAACUGUCAGGGCAAUAGCAGCUGGGGCCUCCAAUCGCUUGCUUACUCUGCUGCUUAUCUCUUACAUACAAAUCAUAAAAGCCGAUUUACAACAGCCUAAUCACUUCCAGAGCCUCCCCAAUAUGAAAGCAGAGAGGAGAGGAUAACAACCUAAGAUGAUGAAUGAGUGGUUUGAGUGGAUGAACUCUAGUAAGAAAGGAAAGAAAACAUCUUCAAACUCAUGUCUAGAAACAAAAGGUGGACACAAUGAUCUUUGCAGGGCUUUCCAACCUAGCUCUUGAGUAGAAUUAGGGUCAGCAUAAAUAACUUAGCAAAUACUAUUAAUUCCCCAGCAUGCUGUUUUCCCGAACCUGUCUUUCAUAAGCCCAGAAGUGAAAUGUUUUUGAGAGCAUCCUGCUUGUGAACAGAUUCCUAUUUCCGUGAGGAGGUGACCUCGAAGAAGAGCAGCUUCUAUUCUGCUGGGAGGUGUACUGCCUUCUGGUAUCAGGCUUCUGCAUCCCGGGAAAGCUCGGGAUAACCUGAGGCACCCCCUUGAAAAACAAAAGAGCUUGAUCAGAGCAGGAGGGUCCUGUUGCACAAGCCCAGCAUCUACUAUCAGUUUCACCUAAAUGUAAGCCAUUCAUUCCCCUGGACUAUGUGUGGGUGGGACUGGAAAUACUACCUGCUCACUCUAGAGAGGAGAAAUGCCUCUCUUCUGAUUCAUUAACUCAGAUUUUCCUCCAGGGUCUUCUUGCAUGCAGGGCAUGAACAGAAAGGCCAAUGUUGACCAAAGAUGAGCAAUAACUGUGUACUUGCCUCUAGAAAGGGUAGUUCUGUGGUUACUUUCAUUACUGGCAAAAUCUAGAAUCCUUACGCAGACCUUAAGGCCCUACGUGACUUGGCUCUCUUCUCUUUCUCCAAGAUAAUCAACUAAACACUCCUCCUCGCUUAACUCUGCUUCAGCUGUGCUUACAUUCCUCCCUGUCUCCCCAAACACAACAAUAAGCUUAUUCCAGCAGGCCUUGGAAAACUCUUCCCUUUGCAUGCCUGACUUCUGUUUGUUAAAGUCCUCGUGUAGAUGUCACCUCCUCAGCAGUGUCAUUUCUGAACACUCCUUCUAAAGUAGCAAAGUUAGUUGUCUUCUGGCCAACCACUCACUAUUGCACUUGACCCUUUUUUAAACUACUCACCCUGACUUAUUAAGGUCAUAUGUAAGUUUGUAGCUGAAUGAAUCCCCUGGGAGCCAGGAUCUUCUCCCUACUCUUCACUGUAUUCUUGCAGAGCUAGCAGUGCCCAGUACCCUUUGGUGCUCAAUACAUACUCAUGGAAUAAACGUAAAUGGAUUCUCAUGUUACCCACAGCUUGGAAAAAAGCAACCACCCUCCAACCUGGAGUGGGUCAGUGCUGUGAUCCACAUGGGUGGGAUUCCAAACAUCCAGAAAAAAAUACCAUGAUCACACCUGUCAAUCUCCAUCUCUGGUGAUUCAUUAUAUAGCCCACCAUCUGGGGUUUCUCCAAUUUUAAAGUCAAAGUACACGUGAUUUAUAAUGAGCUCCCUGCACUGCAGAAAUGUUUUCUCCUUACUAAUCACAGCUCUGUUGAUGUGUUUAAAUUAGCAGCUGAUACUGUCCCCAAGAUGGAACUGUACUGUCACAGGUCACACUCCAACUUGAGAAGCACUCCUUUCCCCUCUAACUACGAACAGAACUGGAGAGCUACUUUCUGGCUGGGUGACUUGGGGAAAUUUGUAAACCUCUUGAGAUGCAUCAGUAAGAUGGGCAUAAUGACAGGAAGUGAGUACUAAAGCUGUAGUGAUGAUUAGAUGAGGAAAAAUAUAUCUUUCCUUUUUAAGGUUCAUCAUGACUAUGGUGCAUCUGUGUAGUUGUUGUUUCAUCUCUGUCUUCUUGACAGAUCAGCAGCUCCAAGAGGGCAGAAACUGUGCUCCUGUUUGCUAGCCCUGACCUCAUACCUGGUAUUCAGUAUGCAGGAAGAAGGUUUAGUAAGGCCUAAAAUUCCCCAAGGAAAGAAAGCAUGCCUCAAGACUGUGAAUGCCCUCCAGACAUUUACAACUCAUACUGAUGAUUUAGCUCCCUUUCAGUAGGGUCUUUCCUAUAUUAUUUAUUAUUUAUGUGCUGGGGCAGAGACAUGAAGAAAAUGGAGCUGUUUAGAACAGGAGUUUGCAAACUGCAAUGGCCAGUGAACCAAAUCCAGCUCACCGCUCACUGCCUGUUUUUCUAAAUAAAGUUGUAUUGGAACACAACCACACCUAUUCAUUUGCAUAUUGUCGAGGGUUGCUUUCUGGAGUUGGGAGUUGUGACAGACUGUAUGACCUGCAAAGACUCAAAUAUGUUACAGGCAAACAAAUAUCAUUGAAUGCAUGAUUGUAUGGAUUAAUGAAUUUGAGAAACAGGGCCUGAUGCACUGAUAUCCACUUGAACGCCAGCCACUGUUGUAAAUUAUCUGUGCCUCCAAACCGUGGCUGGGAUUCCUCCUCUACACAGACGAAGCUCAACUCUUCACUCCAUUUGUCUGUGCUGAACACGACACAGUGUCAAAAUAAUGCAAAUCAAUAGAAUCCAACCUAAUGGGGCUCUAACAUGCCCUUACUCUCCUGUAAUAAACACAUUUUUCUUUUCUUGUUGUUUAAGCCAUGGGGUGUGUGUGUGUCUGUGUGUGCGUGCUCAAGCACAUGUGUGAUAGGGAGGUGGGAGCUGCAAGCUAAAUUUGCCAGAGAACUCUGGCUGCAGCACAUAGUCCAGGGCAGUAUCAGUACCCCUACAUCCUCUGGAGGAUCUGGCAGAAGAAUCCCACCUGAUGGCAAGGAGACACAGAUAUCAGGUCAUUUCCCUCUCAAGCAGAGCUCUGUUUUCUUAAUUAACAGAGAGGGUUUUUCCCUGCCAAAUAAUGCAGGCUUUAUGAGAGGUGCUCAGGGUGAUGAUAGAGUUAAACGCAGUGAUUUAUCCAUAUCCCAAGGGUCAGUGUGACUGGGAGCUACGCAAAUGUCCAUGCACCACAGGGGUGCAGGUUCCCUUAAGAUCCUUGGCUGUGCUUCUACAAAGAGAGGUCAGCAUCCAAUUCAGCCUGUGGUUCUCUGUGGUUUAACUGCCAGCAUGAAGGUGCAUUUGGGGCAUUCUAUGGUACACUGGCAUUUCUGUCUGAGAAAUGUUUCCCUCUCUACAAAUAGGAGGUCUCACAGAAACUGGCCUCUGCGAGAAAAUCAAUGUUCUUCAAAGAAUGCUCAAGGUCUGAUGGAACGGAAAGAAAAUAUUUGCUGGCUCCCCUCCCCCACAUGUCUUUGUGGGCAAAAUGUAUGCAUGCAAGUCCAGAAAGAAGAAAAAGACUAAGAUUGAACGGCAGACUUUAGGCACAUCUUUCUGUUCCUUAUUUAUUGUCCUGUCUUAUCCCACUCCGCACCAGAAGACAGAGAGCUGUGUUUCUGCCAACUUCAAAGAUACAUUACCAGGCACGGUGGCUCACUCCUAUAAGCCCAGCGCUUUGGGAAGCUGAGGUGGGAGGAGCUCCUGAGCCCAGGAGUAUGAGACCAGCCCUGGAAACAUACUAAGACCCCCUAACUACAAAAACAAAAAACAGAAAAUUAGCCAGGCAUAGUGGUGUGCACCUAUAGUCCCAGCUACUGGGGAGGCUGAGGCAGUAGGAUCACGGUUACAGUGAGCUAUGAUGACACCACUGCACUCCAGAGCCUUUCAAAAAAUAACUUUUUUAAGCAUUCAUAUUUCACAUUUCUGUGCAGUAAAGGAAAUAGUAUCUAUUCAACCAUGUCCUCCAGACAUUUACAACUUAUACUGAUGACGUAGCUCCCUUUCAUUAGGGUCUUUCCUAUAUGAUUUUUAUUUUCUUUUUUGCUGAGAUAGAAACAUGGAGAAAAUGGAAUUGUUUAGAACAGCGGUUUGCAAACUACAGUGGCAAUGGGCCAAAUCCAGCUUACUGCCUGUUUUUGUAAAUAAAUUUGUAUUCAAACACAACUACACCUAUUCAUUUGCAUGUUGUUGGUGAUUGCUUUCCAGAUUUGGGGAGUUGUGACAGACUGUAUGACCUGCAAAGCCUCAAAUAUUUACUUUCUGGCCCUUUAUAGACACAGGUUGUCAACCUCUGGUUUAGCAUGCUGCGGCAAGCCUGAACAGCCCCGAAGUCAUGGGCGCUACACAGUUGAAGCCUCUCAGACCGUGCAAAAAGUGUCCCAAGGUACAUAUUUGUUUGUUUGAAGCAUGUGUGGCGGUAGCUUGAUCAGGUCCCUUGGGAUCCUUUCUCCAACUAAGUCAAUCGAUUUCCUCAACAUCCCGAACUUCAAAUUGGCAACAGCUGGAGAGAUACUGUCAUCUGGGCAGUGGAGCUUAAACGCCACCACAUGUUUCUUGGUGACAGGGCAUGGAAUGGCUCAAACAGAGUAUGACAAAGAAGGCUGGGGGUGGGGACAGAAAGAGGAGAGUGGGACAAUAUGAAUGCACUCGAAAGUGUGAUCUGUGGACCAGCCACGAUGCCAUCCCUUGGGAGCUGGUUGCAGACUCUCAGGCCCUCACCGGACUUGCAGAAUUCAAAUCCACAUUUGAACGAGAUCCCUGGUGAUUCUCAUGUUCAUGAGAGUUAGAGGAACACCAAGAUGAUGGGAGUUUCAAGGACGAUUUUCUUUGCAACACAAGGGUGCUUCUACUCCAGGAAACAAGACCCUCACACUCUCAGAGACUCUAAUUCAGGGUUUCCCAACCUCAGUACUACUGACAUUUCGGGCUGGAUAAUUCUUUGUUUGGUGGGCUGUCCUGUGCACUUCAGGAUGUUCAGCAGUAUCUCUGGACUCUACCCACUAGAUGCCAGUCACACAUCCCUCUGGUUGUGACAGCCCCGAAAUGUCUCCAAACAGUGCCAAAUGUCCCUGGAGGGCAAAAUCGCCCCCAACUGAGGACCGCUGCUCUAACAGAUCCUGUCCUCCACCUGCUGCUUGACCAUAGCCCAAGGGGAGCUCUGUUCCUGUCCACCCAGUUGUUGGAGUGAGUUAAACCUGCUCUACCCCAUCCUGCAGACAGGAGCCUCGUCACGAUGGGGGUUGCCGCUCCUUCUUUCUAGAGAAGGAUUAUCAGGGCUCUGCCUGGUUGGGUGUGGUAUGUCCCCAAAACUGGGGAACUCUAAAAGUUAUUUUCUCUCUAAACUCUUCUCAGAAAAUUCACAUUCCUUUCUCUCAGUGGCUAUCAAGAACUCCCCAGUUAAGGCCUUUGCUGUCUAAUUUUCCUGGCAGGUUUGAAGCUUUUGAAAUCCUGAGUUUUUGAUGUAUCUCUUUUACUUCCUUACUCCAGCCACUGGCCUAUCUAGCAGGUCUCAGGUGAUCAGCAGAUCACAAGUUGGCUUGCAGUCAGUUACACAUCUGUCAUCUGCUCUGGUGCUACCAGGAUCAGUGCUGGUAGUCUAAGGAAUGAUUUCCUCUGCCAGCUGCACUGGGGAAGGGAAAGGGAAAGGGGAGGCCAAGCCCUGGGGCAGGGGUGGGGGAGGAGGGGAGUGUGCAUAACUUCUUACUUCACACUCCCACCCCCAGGCUUGGCCUGCCUUCCCUCUCAGUCAGGCAUGGGCUGUUUAGGCCCAAACUAAAUAACAGCCUCUUUACAACCAGCUGCUUCCAAAGAGGGUCAUGGACUGAUCUUGGUUUUCCCAACAAUAGCGGCUUUGUUUUUUAGCAGCAUUCAUUCUAGGGACUUGCCUUUGAACUGGAGGUUGGGGAGUGACAAGCAUUAUAAUGGGACUAGAAUCACUUCUCUGACAGACCCAGUACAGUUACAAGGACAAGUCAGAUAAAAACUUGAGUGUGGAUUGGAGGUUUCUUACCUUCUAUCCCUUUCCUUGCUCAUCCUAUUAACUUCCGGAUAAAUCAGUGACCCCAAUAAAGAUGGAGUCAAUUUUAACUAAAACCACUUGUAAAAGUGAAGGAGGAAACCAGGAAGGGACAUCUUCCAGAAUCAUGUGGAGUCAGUUUUAACUAGUACCACUCAGCUCCAUGGGGGAUUCUGGUUGUAUUGCCACAAAGCAUAUUGCUAAUUGAAAGGAUACACAACAAAUUCAGACCAGUUGAAGAUUUUUUUGCCAGAGUUUGCUCUGGGUUUACACUGACCCCAUGCUGCUUUCUAGAACCCAUUAGUCUGGGUCAACAAGCAGACCAUGCUGUAUUUACUUGGGAAACACUUGACUACAGGAGGACAAAAGCUAAAUGGCUCCCAAGUGGUAGAGAGUGGGCAGCCAAGAACCUGGGGACCCACUGAGUUGCUUCAAAGAUCUUUGACAAAGCCCUGCUAUUGCCAGGCACUGGGAGCACAACUGUGAACAAGGCCCUUUAAGAGGACAACGUAGAAGGAUAUGACCUAGUGCAGGGAGAACAGAUAACCAAGUCAGCAUAGCAAGGUGACCGUUACAGAUAAUAAUCACUAGGAAGGAAAUAAAGGGGAUGCUAUGGCAGAGAAUAAAGACUGGACCUACUUUGAGUGCUGGAAAAGAACUCUGUGUUGGUGAUGACUAUGGGGAGACCUAAAGGAUGAGAAGGAGCCCACCCAGCCAAGGGCAGGGAAAAGUGUUCCAGGCAGAGGGAGCAAGAAUAUUUUGUACUAGAGAAGGUGCCACGAGCUCUAAGAUGUAGCAGAGGGGCAAUGACACUGGAACAUUGUGAGCAAGGAGGACAGCAGCAGGAAUGAGGCUCAGAAGGUGAAAAGGAGCCACACGGAGGUUCUUCCUAGUCCACUCUGGGUUUUA